rnacentral:lncRNA from 1 species
AAUUAAAUUAUACAUUCUAUUAAGUCCAAAAACACUUUGUAUUAAUAACAUCAUCUAAAAACACUUUUAUCCAACAGUUAACACAUCCAAAGUAAUUAAGAAGUUGAUUCCAGCAAACGUUUCAAAUUUUACAAACUAACAAGCCGUCAAAUCUUGUAACGCAGAACUCCCAUAUUCUCAGUAAAAUUCCAGUAGAUAAACUACCAUUCUCAACAAAUACCCAGCAAAACUCCCAAGACCAGCAAUUUCUCUCAACCUGCAUAUGCAACACCAAUUGAAUAUACCAAGCACUAUCGUUAUAAAGAAUAAAAACCUACAGUAAAACCCCUAAGUUUUAGAUGCAACAGAAUCAUUACUAAUUCAAACUCAAUCUGUAUGUGCAACACUAAUUAAUAUAGCCAACCCUAUAUUAUAAAGAGUUAUCUAUUAAAGUAAAACUUUAACUUUUUAUACAACUUAAAUUAAUUCCUUGCUACAAUAAAAUAUAUAGUAAAUAAAAAAGGUACUUGUAAUAUAAAUUUCAAGCAUAGUACAUAUCACCAUGACAAUGAAGAUAAUAUGAACUAAUGAUUGUCUCAAUACUUAUUUUUCAGCAGAACGUUCCUAUAGGAAUAGGUAAGCAAGAUCAUAUAUGGGAGUUAGGCAUGCAAAACAUUAUGGUUAUUUCUAUCUGGGCACAUAUCCUGUGAAAAUCAUGCACAAAUGUUCUAAAACUCUAUUAUGAAUAUGACUACACACAAACUAUAGUUAAGAGUAUAAACACGAAAGUCUCCACAAAAUCUAUGAAAAGGCCAAAACUCUCCUUCUCAGGCUGCUGCCAUUUCUUGCCUGUUGCUAAGAAUUAAAAGGAGACUCAUUAAACUUUGAAGAAAUGGAAUGGAAGCCCAAUGAAAAGCCCAAAUCCUCACUUUCUCCCAAAUAUACAAAAAUAUCCUCACGUAUUGUCCUCAAAUAUUCUUUUGUUUCUCUCCAACCACACAACCUAAAAAGUGGCCAUAACUAAACUAGCCCAUAAUAUAACGAACUUCCUCUUUCCUUCAAAUGCAAAAGGAAAUUCCAAAAGCAAGAACCGACGAGAAAAUAGCACAAAUAAGUACACCAAACAUUUAUAUGAAUUAAUUAUUUUUAAAAAAAGUAUAUCAAACAGACAAUAGAAUGCAGUACCAUAUUCUCCUCAUUUCCCCUGCCACCCCAAACCACGCAUAGAGAAGCACAACAAAUAAAUAUAUUCCCUAUACUGGAGAUAUAUAUAAGAUUUCUCCGAAGGUCAUCAGGCUUUAAUACAGCCAGAAAGCGGAUCUCAAUAAAAAUUUAAUUCAAAAUCACUGGUUCUUUUUGGAUGAUGCAGUUGUCAUUAAAUAUUUUGAAAGUAGCUGUGAAAAUAUAUCUCAUUCUGUUAUUCUAACCCCAAAAAUAAAAAUGGAAGAAAUGCCUAAAUAAUAACAAACAUUUGUCGGUCGUUCAGUGCACAACAACCUACAAUUGAAUUUCUUUUUGAGUAUCUUGCCAUUGUUGAGAGUGUACAAAAGUUUUUCACAGCUUCAGCAUUAAACCAAGUAGUAUACUACAAAAUGAAACUGUAGGAUAAACCACGAACGACAUCUAAUUAUAAAAUGUUGAUGAGUGGAAACUUGAUAAUAUUGAUGAAUCUGUUAGUACCUAUAAACGAGGAAUACAAAAACAGGCCUGGUUCACUGCAUUAUUAUUCAUUACCCCUCUAAUUAAUUAAGCUGAAGAAAAUAUCAGUGGCAGAGAAUUCUGUUCUUGGAUCCGUUUUCAACAGUUCGCAUUGUAUAUUAUAUCCUUAAGCAACUUCCGUUUUUCUAAAUAUUUGGAACUGUUUAAGAACCAAUCCAACUAAAAUUAUUGUUGCAAAAGGAAAAAUAUUAAGCACAUAGCAGAGCGAAAGAAUGCAUAUAUGUGAGAAUACGUCUCCUUGAUAUCGAAUAGAAAAGGCCAAAGUAAGUUCAAUAAAAAUAAUAUUGUAUGUUUAGUUGUAAGGUGCUAUUUAUUACUUUGUCUGAACAAGAAAAAGUUCUAAAAAGACCAAUCAUUAGCUUCAAUAAGCCCAUGCUUGGCUCCAUAUAUAUUAAUAACGAUUACAACAUACACAAUUAAUUUUAAAUAGUGGUCACAAUUAAUGGCUAACAAAGUAGUGAAAGGAUACCUCUAUAGAUGAUUCGAGUUGAUGUUGCAACUUCAGCAUUGACAUUGUCUUUAAGCCAUUUCCUCAGUUCAGCAUGGACCUGUCACAUAUAUUUAAAACAUGGUCUGAGAAAAAUGAUUACAUCAAAAUUCACAGAAUAUCAACUUUAGAAGCACAACAAAGAGCAAUUAUGUCAGCAAGUUUUGCUGGCAAAAAGAGAUAAAGUAAUAAUUGAAAUAGACUUAAAACAUCUAUUUACUUGUAUUCAAUAUGUAAACACUGUCAUGACCCAACCCAGACCUGGCAAGAUAUUGUCCGCUUUGGGCCUUAACAAGGCCCGCACGGAUUUGUUCUUGGGGCGCUCAUACACCCCAAAACGCGUCUUGCCAAUUAAGGUGUGGAUCACUCCUUAUAAACCCAGCAUCUCUCCCGUACUUUGCCGAUGUGGGAUUUGCCUAGGGUGUUACAUACACCCCCCCUUGAGGACUCAGCGUCCUCGCUGAGGUUUGCCCCACCAUCGCUCAAGAGGACACGCGGAGCCGCUCUGAUACCAUAAUGUCAUGACCCAACCCAGACCUGGCAAGAUAUUGUCCGCUUUGGGCCUUAACAAGGCCCGCACAGAUUUGUUCUUGGGGCGCUCAUACACCCCAAAACGCGUCUUGCCAAUUAAGGUGUGGAUCACUCCUUAUAAACCCAGCAUUUCUCCCGUACUUUGCCGAUGUGGGAUUUGUAUUCAAUAUGUAAACACAAAGUACAAAACUAUUUCUGUGCCUGUACCCAUCUGAAAAGGAAAUGACACAGGCAAAAUUAUUGGUGGGUUUGUACGAAUAUUUAGGCAGAUGUAUAAAAGAAAGCAUCCACAAGCAUGGGAGUCUGAAGAUGGAUUGGGAAACAAAUAUAAUUCUUUGUUGUAUGUAUGAAUCUAUAAGGUGAAAAAAUGAUGAUGACAAUCAGAAACAGCUCUACUGUAUUAUUACUUGUUUCAAAACUUCUAGAGCUAUAUACAAAUUCUGAAAUGCUCUGCCUAGGAAAAAAUACACGUGGUGAAAAUAUAUGGAAAUGUGCUGACAAAAACACCAAACAAGCUCAUAAUCAAUUCUUGUUAAAAAAAAAAAAGGCUCAUAAUCAAUCCAACAAUAUUUAUGUUGAUAGCAAGAAUAAGGAUAGUCAUAUCAUUCUUAUAAGCACGAAGAUCAUUGUCAUUGAAACAUCAAAUUAAAUAAGACAUAAACUCAAACUUCCUUCCUGAGCCUAAGCAGGGGUUGCAACCUUUCCAGUAUCAAUGGCCCAAACUAGCUCAUAAGCCAACACAACAUUGUCCCAGUUGGAUUUUUUUUCUGCAAGAGAACAAAUAAUUAAUUGUUCAUGCAGUGUAGAAUCUAAUAUUACAAAAUAUACAGUCUUUCGCUGACCAUAGAUAAUCAUCCUAUAAGAAAAGCAAACCUCACGUACGUACCUAAGAUCAGAAAAGAAACAAUAAUGGAUGGAUGUGGAUAUAUAUAUAUGCAUGAAAAUAAGAAUAUUCCUAACAUGACAGCAGGGAACGCCACUAAAAUAACGUUAGGUGCCACGGCGACCGGGGUAUAGUACACCAUAUAAAUACUCAAGUUUAAUUUUUAUCAAUUAAGUUCAAAAACACGCCACCAAAAAAGCUAAGGUUUCUUCAACCUCAAAACUUUUAUUAUUGAGAGCUUGCAAGCUCUCUAACCUGAGAUAACCCAACUCCGACUUGAGCGUCGGAGUGUGGUCGCCGACCACCCCCGGCUCCACCUCUGACCUCUUUUUUAGUUGUUUUGCAGGUUUAAGAUAAUUUUCACCAGCCUUCCGCACCUGAAGUCAGACCCCCGCCAUAUCCACCACCUUCUCAAUCCUCCUCCACUCCACAAAAAGCCUAAACAACCCACAUGCGCCGAACAAGCGAGGCACCCCGCUCCCCAACAAAAAUAAAUUUAUUGUUCUUGGCUUGGUUUUGUGAUUUUAUCUCGUUAACCCAAAAUCAGCCGCCAACAUAUUGUAAGGAAAGAUUAGAUAUAAAAUGGUUGUAAGAAAUAAUUAAUCAUUAAUUUGAAUCUAGACUAAAUUAAAACUUAAAAUUAAAUGUCAUGAUAUCUUUCACGAAAAUACAAAGUAUAUACAAAUCAAUGUAGGUCUACAUUAUAAAGUUCAGCAUCAUUCCGAAAGUUUCAAAUACAUCUUUAUCAAAUGAUAGCCUGCAAUAUAAGCAAUAAUAUAAUAAGAUGUAGGAUAAAUUAACACCAUAUUUACGUAUAGGAUGAGUUUGGUUGAAGGAUCAAAAUGCGGGAAUGGAAUAUUCUUUCAAACUUCAUCCAAAUCCCUUAUUGAUGCUCUCAAAGAGUAUUGGGAUUAUCUUAUCCUGAGCCCACAAGAUAAUCCCAACUUUAUGAAGAAAGUUAUCUCAUGGGUGGCCUUGGGACUAGUUGAGAAUAAUUUUAAAAAGCAAUUAUUUAUACUUAAUAGUUUCUCAAUAUUAAAAUUAUAUAAAUAUGUACUAAGCAUAAUACAAGUAUUAUAAUAAUUAAACAUUAUAAAUAACAAAUAAAAAAAAGUUAUUUAUUUAUCAUGAAAAUAAAAUAUUAAAAAGUAAUUGUAUUUGUUUAAAUAUUUUAGUAACAUUAUUAAUGUAAAUUUAUUAUUAAGUAAUUUUUUUGAUUAAUAGUGUAAAUAAUUUUCGCUUGUUUUAAACAUUAAAAUAUAAUACAAUUUUAAAUUUAAAUAUAUAAUUUUAUUAUUAUAAAAGUAAAGUUUAUAUCUUUCCAUUAAACUUAAAAUAAUAUCUGGUCAUUUUUAUUAUCUUUAAUCUAAUUUAAUGUUAAAAUUAUAUAUACAUUACAAUUUAGUCCAAUCUUGUAUUACGCCAAAUAUGAGAGGUCACGAAAUAUAAUCUUAUCCCAUCACAUCUUAUUUUAAGUCAUAUAGCUCAAGUCAUAUUCAAUUAUAUCUCAUCUCAUCCUAUCCUAUCCUAUCCACCGCACCAAACAAGCAUAUAUAUGUGAUUAAGAACUACAAAUACUAUAGCUCGAAGCAUUUCUGUUAGAGUUUCUCCUAAAACAUAGAUAUCCAGAGACAAGCUUUUAGAAUGUUUGAAAUAUAAUCACUCAGGGAUGUAAGUCGAGAUAGUUAACGGUACAUCAAAUCUGUAAUUCUAACGCUAGCUAGACUCGAGCCCCUCUCAAAUCCAAAAGCUAUAUAGCUUUCCGAACACAUUUACCGAAUGACCAACAUCAAUUUCUUCUGCAACUGAUAAAGGACAAAUACAACAAUAUAUGAUAACUAAAGGAACAAAUAUAGGAAACUGCUAAUGCGUUUUUAUGGAAUUAAAAUGAGUCAAAGGAACCCUUAGUUCUUUAAUUUCGGAGGAAUUUGGGGAUUAAAUUGCAUGUGUUAUAUAUGCUUCCGUUUUCGUUUCUAUUUCAACUAAAUUGCACAAGUCAAGUCACAUGGCAGCAGAUUUACGUGCAUCCAGUUUUGGAGUGGCAGAGAUAGACCAAUUGUACCAAGGCUAUUAUAUUUAAUGUACUAAUUAAUGUUAUGGAUAAUUAGUGAGCAGCCUAACAAAUAACUUGUAUCACAAUUUACAGCUUCAACUGACAAAAUAAUAAAAUUAAUGACUCUAUGUAUAGCUAAAAACUCUAAUUCAUAAUAAUAAUAAGGGAGUUCAAAUAAAACAGCGGCUAAUAAAAUAGUCUGUCACUACAAAUAAUAUGAAGAAACACCAAGCUUUAGAGUUUGUCAUUUAUUAAUGAUUUCUUCAUCAAAUUAAUCCAGCGAGCUUGUUCAGAGACCCAACUUGUUCAAUAGACGAGGAAAAUUGCUUGAAUUCGAAGAAUUUUGACAGAGAUAAGAAACCUACAAGGAGGGAGGAUUAAUAAUUAGAAAAAGAAUAGUGCAAACUUUUAUGUGUGUGUCUGUCUAUAUAUAUAUAUGUAUGUAUGUGUGUGUGUGUGUGUGUGUUUGUGUGUGUGUGUGUGUGUGUGUGUGUGUGUGUGUGUGUAUAAACAUGUAUACAUACGGGAGAUUUUGAAACAACCUUACAAUAGAGUGAACAGAAAUAAUUAUUCCCUUGCAGCCUAGCCGGACACCCACUGCAUUUGUUGGUGGUGGAUUCUCUAAAAUAUGUUCCUGGCCUUUGGUUUAUAUGUAGUACUUUUUCACCAUUAUGUUGAUAUGUCUGAAGAGAAAAUAUAUGGAGCACGUUUGUAAGAAAGUGGUCAGAUAUAAAUGUAGUUUCACAAGUCAUAUGCUCAUGCCCGGAUACCGAAUUUGAACCCAGAACAAAAUUGUGUGGCACAGCUCAAUUCGGAUUAAAAUUCGGAUGUUCGUGCGUGAGCAUUAUUAUGCAGUUCAGAGUAGUACUUCGUUGGCAAAUAGCAGAAUUUUUAAGAAAAUAUUCAAUGAAGAAGAAAUAGAAAAGAUUUGAAUUCAAGCUUUGACUUAUUACUUGGAUAUGUCCACAGUCAAUGAACUCGUGAGCCUCAACGAACCGUACAACGCUCUUUUCGUUAUAUGUGCGGAUCUGAAAUAUUAAAAAUUUACAAAACAAAUACAUAAGUAAAUAAAUAAAUCAUGCAGAUAGUAUUAAAAAUUUAUGAUGUAAUAAAUUUAAUUCAAAUAAUAUUUAUUUAUUCAUGUGAACCUUUAAGAGGUGAUGAGUACUUUCGUGAUUGGACAAGCAUUUUUCGCAUAUACUGGUGCAACAAUUCAAACAAUAUAUGUUCCUUUGUCUAACUGCCGUUCCGUGAUUGCAAUAUUGAAAGCUUCUCUCUUGGAAAAGAGUCAAAAGACCUUGGAGCCACUGUGGUUGAUUCCCGGCCUGAAAACACGAUUGAAUACAAUUGAUGUUAUUAACUAAUUAAAAAAAGUAACAACGAUUUCGAGUCCUAAUGAACCAACGAAGUUGGAUUCAAUAUGCUAAUCACCCUUUAUACGAGAUUAUUAAAAGUUCAACGCAACUAUAUGAUAAAAGCUAAAUCUUAAUUCUAAAUCAAAAGGUGAAAAUUAAAGAAAAGACCGACCAUAAUUGUCUAUUGAUGCUGGAGAGUGUAUAUUUUUCUUUGAGAGAGAGGGGAGUGUUGGUAAAGAGAAUUACACAAGAGUCAAAGAGAAUUGAGCUUUUUAUAUAUGUGUGUAUCGUAUUUGUGUCGUAUUGCUGUCCGAAAAAUUCUAGCACUGUUUAGUUAAUUAAUGUAAUAGGUUUCGUCAACAUAAAAAAAAAAAAAAAUUAGCACGCGGGAAGAUUAAUUUCUAUUUUAGCAACGAUAAUAGGAAACGUUUGUGUCUUAUUUGGGUUGUGUUUGUGUUUUAAUUAACGCAAAAACUAUUUUGUUGCCUACUCUAGAGUUAGAUCAGGAAACUUAACAAAGAAUAAACGUGGAAAAAAUAAAUUGUAAUGAGUUAAUGGGAAACAGAAGGUACAUGCGCAAGCUGAUUCGGAUUAAUUUUAAUGGGAAACAAAAGAUACAUCCACAAGUUGAUUUGGAUUAAUUAAUUUUCAACAUCUGUAAUCAAUUAUAGGGUGAGGUCGCUUGAACCUACUAAAUCUCUCUUUAUACCUGAACAAAAAUUAUAUUUAUUUUUAAAUUUUUAAAUUUCAAAAUGUUAGAAUUACUCUUCAUUUUUUUUAACAGGUGUAUAUUUUCUCUCUGCCAUAACAUCCUGUAAACUAAAUUCUCACGUAUACUCUAACAUGGAUUUUGAUUCUUAAUCUUUCGUAUUAGAUCAUGAUUGCAUUAUUAAUAAACCCUUACUGCAUUUCUUGUAUUAUUGAAGUAAAAAUAUCAUGGAGCUCAACCAUAUGCAUAUCUCCGCUGGGCAACCAAAGUCUUUUUGGCAGGGCUUACAAUUCAUGUCACUAUAAUCCAUGUUCUUCAAUAUGGACGAAGGAUGCCGAGGUCAUUGGAAUCAUGAUUUUCAUUUUCAAAGAUUUUAGGAAAAAAAAUUAAUGACUUUGAUGUCUUGUAAAUUUCGUUUGAAGUUUAUAUUUGGAUAGUAAGUUUUGUUUUGUUUUUAAUUGUUGAUGGCAUGUAGAAAAUCUGAAUUUAUCAAUUUUUGACAGACAAACAUUACCAUUCACUUACAAUUGAACAUUGAGAGAAGAAAAAAUGCGAAGCCCUGGGUGCGAAACUGAGACAAAAAGCGAAAGAGAAAACAGGGUACAAUAGGUAAUUCCAUAAAAAAAAACUUUAAUAAUAAGAAAUUUAAAUAAAAAAUAGGUGUAUAAAUAAAAUUGGUGGGUUUUAGUACUCUCACCCUUAUCAUGUGUCUUUUGAAGCGAGUGGAAUUCAUGCUUUUUAAUUUGUUGAAAUGAUUGUUCAAUUUCGUGUGUUCAAAUUGGAGAUAUAAAGUUCUCGUGAUUGUAAUGAAAUUUGCAGCGAUUGAUUCUAACUUCAGUUAUCAAAUCCAAGAUGUGAUUUAAAAAAGAAAAUUACAAUUCUCUCUGCAACCUAAGCAAUACCACCCAAAUCCGAUCCGAUCCGUUCUUAACCCGAUUUUUUGAUCCGAUCCGAUCCGAACCGAACAUAUUCGGAUCGGAUCACAUAUUCGGGUUGAGUUCGGAUGACAUUUUUCUCAAUCCGACCAACCCGAAAUCCGAUCGGGUUGACCCGAACCCGAUCCGAAUCCGAUUUUGCCCACUCCUACCUUAAGGUUUCAACAAGAGAUAACAAGAUCACUUUUUGACCAUAGUACUUGGCUCUAUUAAUCCCAAAAAUUGACUAAAUGUUUUAUAAAAAUAGAAAUGCAAUAUUAAGAUAAUGUAAUAAUACAUAUAUUUUAAAAUAAUUUCAACAUUAAAAAAUUGUUUAAUAUUUUAAAUCUAUUAGACAUAUUUUAUUAUAUUAAAUUAAAUUUUAUAACAAAUAGAAACAUUAUUGUCUAUUAAAAUAAGCAUAUAAUAAAUUAAAUUUUUUAAUAUUAUAAAAAAUAAUUUUAAUAUUAUUAAUACAUGAGACAUAUUUUAUUAAUUGUGAAAUUUAUUUAAACCAAAUAUUUAUUUAAAAUCUUUAUGCUAAAUACAAAUGUAUUAUUCAAAAAACAUAAAUAUUACAUUUUAAAAUUAUUUUAAAUAUUAAAAUUGUCAAUAUCACUAGUCUGCUAGAUAGUUUAAAUUAUUUGUAUUAUACUUUUUGUACUCAUUAAACAUUUUAAGCUAUUUUUUAUUUACUAUAUUUCAAUGAGGUCCCUGAAUGAUGUAGUAAAAAACUUAUGGCAUCAAUAAUGUUUCAACUGUGUACCAUUAGAUUUAAUUAACGGUAAACAAUAUUUGUAUUAAAGAAAGAGACAUAUAAAAAUUUUUAAACCUCCUAUAAAUUUAUAAUGUGAUAACUUUUUUGAACAUAAAUGUUUCAAAAUAUAUCAUCUAAUAGUUAUCUAACAAAAAUCAAAUAAAUUGUAAUUAUAAAACUUAUAUAUGGUGUAACACUAAUAAAUGACACAACUAAGUACGUAUAUUUCAGUGAAUGUCAUAAAUUGCAUCAAUAAGCUCAUGGAUGAAAUUGUUUGUAAUCUAAAAUUACUAGAUCACCCAUGUUUUAAUAAAAGUUACAUUGCAUAUUAAAAUACGCGCUAUAUACUACUAUAGACCAUUAUAUAAUUGAUCAACAAGUAUAGAUUAUUUUUAACACCCAUUUAGUACAUGAUAAUUUCAUUGCGGGUUGGAACACUAUCAUCUGAUUUUUUUUUCCUAAUAUACCUCCUUUUCUUUUCAUUUUUCUCAAAUAAAAAUAAUUUAUUUUUUCCAAUUUUUUAAAAGAAAAGGAAAAUAAGAAGAGUUUUAAUUUUUUUUCUAAAUGGAAUUGAUGAGUGGUAUAGAGGACAAGUGCUGUAAUCAAUGGAGUUUUGGUGAAGAGUAGCCUUCAAAUAUCAUAAUUGACGAAGGAAAUUAUACCCCUAAAAUUGGGUUUACGGGAUUUUGAACACCUGCUCUCACACAGUGUAAAAGCAAGUGUUCGCCAAUUAGGCCAAAGAACUAUUUACUUUAAUUAAGGAGAAAGAAAAAUGUUAAAUAAACUAAAUAUUGUAAGAUGGUUUCAUGGGGUGAGGAAGGAACUUUCUAGAUGUCAUAACUUGGGCUAUAGGUACCCCUUUUGGCCAUAUAAUAUAAUUUCAAAGUUUGCGAUGAGAUGAACCAAAUCUAAGACCGUGUUUAUGCCAUUCUGCCACAUGAUCGUGCCAAAAUUCUAUUUCUUUCCUUUCUAUUUUAUAAUAUUAAGUUAUUUUUUUGUUUCUCUAGUUAAUUUCAGGAGUUUUAUCUUUUUUUUUUUAAAUAUCAAAUUUAGAUGCCAUUUUUUUUUGUUUUUCUUAUUUGCAAUAGGAGAAUUUUACUAUAAAAUGUGCCUAUUUUGAUAAAUUUACAAUAUUUAUGGUUAGUAUAAAUCCGGCCCAACCGUUUUGGGGAUAUACUAUACCAUUACGAAUCUUGCGACAAUACAAACCAACCCACAUUGUCUAGCUAGAAAUUUAGUUUCUUUCCUAGUCAUUUUAUAAUUUUAAGUUAUUUUCCUAUUUUUCUUGUUACUUUUAAGAUUUUUAUCUUUUUUUUUUCUAGAUUUUAGAUUUGGGCGCCACUUGUUUUGUUUUCCUUAUUUAGAUUAAGAGAAUUAUAUUAUAAACUAAUAUGUUAGAUUUGCCUACUUUGGUAAAUUUCCAAUAAUUAGGGUUAGUGAUAAUUUUAUGAAAUGAGACUUAUCAUGACAUUUGUAGACNNNNNNNNNNNNNNNNNNNNNNNNNNNNNNNNNNNNNNNNNNNNNNNNNNNNNNNNNNNNNNNNNNNNNNNNNNNNNNNNNNNNNNNNNNNNNNNNNNNNNUGUGUUUUAGAUCACUUUGUGCUCUGAAUAUGAGUAUAAUUAUAGAUGACCAAAAAGCUCAAACUUUAUUUAUAGGAUGCAUCAGAAGACUUGCAUAAAUAACAAAAAACUUGUCUGCAGAUGAACUAAAAGAAGUCUAAAUCAGAGAAAAUGUUGUAGCAAUUGUUGUAGCAAUCCAGAAGCAAAUUACAAGCAAGACUACUUGCGUGUUAAUUGACAAAGUGGCGACAGGCGACACAAAAUGAUAUGCGAUCCAAGGUUUCCAAAAAAGAGACACAUGGUCACAUGCUUUUGGUUGUCCUAAUUCCAAGAUAUAAAAAGCGUACAUGUGAAAGAAACAAGGUGGCCGUCACACAAAGAAAAAACAGAGAGAAAAAGAAAAAUAAGAGAACAAGAGAGAGUUGAGGGUUGCAGCAAGAGAUUUCUGAGAAAAAGAAAGAGAGGUCGCAAAAACCUAAGAGAUGGACGUCUUAUAUUAGCAUAACUCAAUUCCUCAUCUUUAUUUGCUUGUUUUCAUCUCUCUAUGAGAAUGUAUCUGAUGGCAAAAACGAGUAUUAUUACUGUUUUAUCGCUAUCAUGAACUAAACUUUGAUGUAGUUGGGUGAAAGCAAGGUUAAUGAUUAUUUGACUUAUAUAUGCGUGUUGCUGCUGCAUCAUUUUGUCUUAAUUUUACUUAUUGCAAAUCUCUAUUUCAGUUGACCACCCAUUUAAUGGAUACUAGCUAAGGAGAAGCCUAAAAAUGAUCUGACUGAGUGGAACAAAUUAAGACAAUACAUGGUUUUAGUUUGAGUUUCCCAAGUUGAGUUAAUCUCGAUUUAAAUAUGGUCAUACUUAAUCUAAGAUUAGUGAAGAACAAGACAUAGGGAUUUACCUUGUAGAGCAAUUGAAUUUUAGAACAUAUAAUACUAUAUCUAAUGUUAGCAUCGCAACUGGUCACUGUUACGUUGCAUAUAGAUAUAAGAUAUCCAACAUGCGACAGCUGAGGAUGCAUGAGGGAUUCUGUCCAGUGCUUUAACAUGUGUCAUAGCAACAAUACUGUAAUUGAAAAACAAUCAAUAGAUUGAAUUGAAUGAGUUUAAGCACUUAACUAUUUCUUUCAUAUUGAGUAUAUCUUUGUGUUUACCAUGAGAUUUUUUCCUUAUUGCAUUCUAUUUAUUUUAUUUUUAAUUUUGUUAGGUCAUUAAUUUCAUUCAUGAUUUUAUUUUAAUUAGAUUGAAUUUGUAUUGUUAAGAUUGCUGUAGCAAGUACUAUAAUAUUAAUCCUUAUAGAGACAAUCUGGAUACUCAUUAUUAUAUUACUUGUUGUGUACACUUACACAUUGACACCUAUAGCAAUACAUAUCAACAAAUUUUUGACAUUGUUUCCGAGAAUUGAAUGCUUAUUGUGAUUUGUGAAGUCAAUUUUAGUUGGUGCCAAUUUUAGUUUUUUUUAUAAUUUGUUUACUGUGUUGACAGAAGUGCUCUAGCAACCCUUGUAUGCGUAGGUACAAAUAUGUUGAAUUCUAGUUUGAUUUAGAAAUUUAAAGAACUGCAAGGAGAUUGAGAAAAGAUCAUAGAAAUUUAAGAUAUGUUGCAGACAUAGAUGAUUUGUAAGGUAUAAGGAACUUGAACCCUCGAUGAGAAAUAGAACCCGUCAAUGCACAUGGAGGUAAAGAAGGUCAAAAUGGACAAAAUAUUUAUGGGCAACUAGAGAACAGUAAUAUUAUCUACAUGGCAAAUGAUAGAGAUAGAGUCAUUAGAGAUUAUGCCUUGUUGGCCCCUCAAGCCAUAAAUCCUGGAAUAGUUAGACCUAAAGUGCAAGCUGCUAAUUUUGAGCGUAAACUAGUGAUGUUUAUACACUUCAAACAAUGCGGCAAUUCAAUCGACUGCCAUCAGAAGAUCAUCGCCUUCACUUUAAACUAUUUCUAGAAGUAAGUGAUGCUUUCAAGAUUGCUGGAGUAUCGCAGAAAGCAUUAAGAUUCAUACUCUUCCCAUUUUCUCUAAGGGAUCGAACAAGAGUAUGGUUGAACUCUCUACCGCCUAAUUUCAUUAUUAUAUGGAAUGACUUGGCGGAUAAAUUUUUAAUAAAGUGCUUCCCACUUGCCAUGAAUGCAAAAUUGAGAAAUGAGAUCACAAAAUUUUCCAUCAACUUGAAGAUGAAAGUUUGUAUGAUGCAUGAGAAAGAUUCAUGGAGUUACUCAAGAGAUGUCCUCAUAAUGAUAUUCCUUAUUAUAUACAGUUAGAAACUUUCUACAAUGGUCUCAACCCAAGUACUUAGAUUGAUGAUGGAUGCUUCGGUAAAUGGGACCUUGUUAUCUAAGUCUUAUAAUGAGGCUUAUGAAAUUUUGGAAAGAAUAGCUAAUAACAACCAUCGGUGGGCAGGAGUCCACAAUGUAGAUGCCUUGACAGUAUUAUCAGCUCAAGUAACCUCAUUAUCAAAUAUAGUGAAGACUAUUGUUGAGUGUAAGAAAAUGCAUAUUUAUAAAGGAGAAAACCAUCAUUUUACAUUUCAAGUCUUACUAACAACCUUUACUUUUAUGUAUUUAACCUUCUUGUGAUUUGAUUACAUGUGUUUUAUUUUAAUUAAGUAUUUUAUGUAUUUUAGGGGCAUUAUAGUCAUUUCAUAAUAAAGGAGAGAUCAGACGGCAAAACGGACAUCACUUUUGAACUCAGGACGGUCGAAAACCUUAGGAGGAGCAUAAAAGGAAAAAUGAUACUAUUCACAUGUACGGUACUAUUCACGUGUACGGUACUGUCUACGUUACUGUUCACGACACUGUUUACAUAGACGGAUCGAUGACGUGGCAUUGACCGAUGAUGUGGCAUUGACUGAUGAGGUGUCACGAUCCUGUUGGGCUAAAAUUCUUAUGUACUGUUGAUGGUGACGUGGCAGCAUAUCAGUGGAAGAAAAAUCUUGCGUACGGUACAUGCAUCACACAAGAUUAUUUUCAACCAAACCGCAUUACUAUUCAUCCAGGUCAAACUGUGUUACUGUUCAUCCACGUGGUCAAACCGCGUACUGUUGACUGAUGACGUGGCGCAAUCUUGAGCGUCCAAACUGUUUUUAAUUCGAUGGCCAUGAUUUACUCCAUGUAUCUAUAAAAAGGGGGCCUCCCCCCCUAAUUUGAUAUCUCUGAAUCUAUUUUUGGGAUCCAUUUUCUGUAAUUCCUUCUCAAUCUUGUAUUUUCUUCGUAUUUUAAUAAAUUCUCAUUUUGCCCCUAGUUCAAUUAUGAGUAGCUAAUUUUCUUUCAAGCUUGGGUUGAAGGUGAAGUCUCAACAUGUGUCAUGGGCUUAAUUUGGUAAAUUUAUUUUCUCUUCCCCUCUAGUUUUUAUGGAUGUUUUGACUUCUCGUCGACAAAUAAUACUAAUCUUGUCUAGUACCGCCUUGGUUUCACCGGUCCUCUAGUACAAGGUUAUUAUUAUUUGGCACGAUAAGCCCUUAGCAUCAUAUUGAUUAGAGCAUGGUUCAUGAGGUGUGGAUUCCCCCCUCAUGAUUUAAUUGGCAUUAAUACGGAUUAUUUAGCCCAUGAUGCAUGUUGAUACGGAUCCAGAUACCCAAGUACGUCAUUUCAAUAGAUUUCGUUUCAAUUUAUUCUCGCCAUUGCAAUUCCAAUUUUAGAAUUUAUUAUCGCCAUCUCAAUUCUAAUUUUAGGAUAAUUUAAAUCACUUCCACCACAAUUUCAACCACCCAUUUGCAAAAUUAAUUCUACAUAUAAUUAAAAUCCACCUCCUCGUGGGGUCGACACUCAUCACCAUUGAUCUAUACUACAAUAGAUUCGUGCGCUUGCGAGUAUAUUAAAAUUUGCACAACAAGUUUUUGGCGCCGUUGCCGGGGAGGUAAGUAAUUUUAAUUCAUAGAAUUAAUUUUUGUGAAUAAUUUCUUUUAUUUCUUUUCUUGUUUUUUUUAAUUAAAAAAAAAGAAAAAAAGUGAAUCUACAUUUAAAGGUUAGUAUUUCUUUUCUUUUUCUCUUCUUUAAAAUUCUGUGAUUUAAUUUUCAAUUUAUUUUUCUUUGUCAUUUUUUUUAUUUUAUUAAUUUAAUUUUUAGUUAAUUUAUUUCACGUAUUUAUUUUUGUGUAUUUUUAUAGAAAUGUUGUAAUAGCGCAAUAAGGUUGUAUUGUAAUUUCUCCCUCUUCUUUAUUUUUAUUUGUUUUGUUCCCAUCUUUAUUUUUAUUUUAUUUGUUUUGCAUGCAUAGUCGUAGGUCAUUAUUACCUAAUCUUGAACCUAUAGACCUUGAAUUAGAAAAAACACUUUGCACACACAGGCACAUUAAAAAUAAAUUUAGAAUGGAUUUACAAGCACCACAGGAGAGGCAAUUUAAGGAUUAUUUCAGUCCUUUAGCCAAUUUGAGCACAUCAUGCAUAAGAUACCCAAAUGUAGCUGCUAGGAGUUUUGAAUUAAAACCUAGUGUGCUAAAUUGUCUCCCAACAUUCUAUGGCCUAGAAAAUGAGGACCCAUAUAAUCAACUGAAUGACUUUCAUACUAUUUGUCAAACAUUUAAAUAUGAGAAUUUUUCAGACGAUGAUGUUAAACUCAGAUUAUUCCCAUUUUCUUUAAAAGAUAAAGCUCGUUCAUGGCUUAAUACAUUGUCUGCUAAUAGUAUUGCAUCAUGGGAACAAAUGGUAAAAAAAUUUUUGAAUAAAUAUUUUCCAGUGCAUAAAACCAAUGCUAUUCGCAGGGAAAUCUCAGAGUUUACUCAGAGAGAAGACGAGCAGUUUUUCGAAACAUGGGAGUGAUUCAAUGGGCUACUCUUGAAAUGUCCACAUCAUGGGUAUGAGAAAUGGCACCAAUGCCAAUACUUUUUGGAGGGAUUAUUGCCGAAUGUGCAAGAAUGGCUAAUGGCAACAAGUGGAGGAGAGCUAAUGUCAAAAAGUGCAUCAGAGAUUUGGGAAUUCUUUCAGCGACAAGCGGAUAAUUCCCAACAACAUAGUUGAUCACUCUGGAAUACUAGAAGAAUUAAGGGAGUAAAUGAGGUUCAAAUUGGCGAGUCAACUUCGGGAAUCAAAGAAGUCAAGGAGAUGGUUGAAGGUCUUGCUCGACAAAUAGCAUCGUUAUCGACUGCUAAAUCAAUAGAACCACAUGACCAUAACUCAUACUCAGAUCAAGCCAAUGCCAUAGGUGUAAUGAGAAAGCCAUCAAAUUACAACCCAUACUCCAACACAUAUAACCCUGGAUGGAGAGAUCACCCCAAUUUUUCAUGGUCUCAAGGAUUCCAACAGAACGGACCAGCAGCUCCAGCUCCACCAAUUCCACAAAAUCCUCAAGCCUCUCAGCCCCCAUUUAGACCAUACAAUCAAAACCAGAACUACUCACAACCCAGACCAUGGGAGGAUGCAUUCCAGAAUUUCAAGAAUGUUACUCACUCCACGAUUGAGCAACAGAACCGCACCAUUGAUGGACUACAAAAUGAGUUGAGAGCAGGCUUCAACUCACAAGCUCAAUCAGUGUCAAGCCUCGAGAAGAUGGUAGGACAACUUGUUUCUUCAGUUCAGACCUUGACAAUGACUGUUGAGAAAGGUAAGUUUCCAAGUCAACCAGUGCCUAAUCCUAAAGGAGUGCAUGAAGCAAGUACCAGUUCACCAAAGCAGCACGGAGAGGUCAAAGCAGUAAUGACCUUGCGAAAAGGCAAAUAAGUCGACAACAAAGUGGAGAUGCCGGUGAUAAAAGAAAAUCAAAUUGUACCUGUGAAUAUUAAGGACUCAUCACCGGAGGAGAGAGAAGAAACCAACCCACGAGAAUAUGUUCCCAAGGCUCAAUUUCCUCAGAGGUUAGCUAAAAGAAAAAAGGGAAAAUCCACAGGUGAGAUUCUUGAAAUCUUCAAACAGGUAAGCGUUAACAUCCCUUUGCUUGAUGCUAUUAAACAAGUUCCAUCUUAUGCCAAGUUUCUUAAAGACCUUUGUACUAAAAAGAGAAAUAUGCAUGUUCAAAAGAAGGCAUUUUUAACAGAAAACGUUAGUUCUAUACUCCAACAUAAAAUUCCUUUAAAAUGCAAAGACCCAGCCUCCCCCACUAUCUCAUGUAGUAUAGGAAACCACACAAUUGAGAAUGCUUUGUUGGAUUUAGGAGCUAGUGUAAAUCUGUUGCCUUAUUUAGUAUUCGUGAAACUUGGACUGGGAGAAUUACACCCAACUCCAGUAGUGUUACAGCUUGCAAAUCGGUCCACGAAAAUACCUCGUGGUAUUUUGGAGAACGUGCUUAUCCAGGUAGACAAGUUUUAUUUUCCUGUUGAUUUCAUUGUAAUUGACACUCAACCAAUACAGGAUUCAAGGAAGCACAUUCCCAUUAUCCUAGGCCGACCUUUCUUGGCAACUGCAGAUGCUCACAUUCAAUGCAGGACUGAAAAUAUGCAGUUGUCCUUCGGCAACAUGACUAUGGAGCUGAACAUCUUCAACAUUGCCAAACAACCUCACAAUGCAGAUGAUUGAAUUGUUGAUGUGGAUUUAAUUGAAACAAUAGUUGAUAACACUUUUCUUUCAAACAUUAGUGAUGAUCCUUUACAAACAUGUUUAACUCACUUUGGUUUGGAUUUUGAUAUUGACAGAUCGGUCGAUGAGGUCAACGCCCUACUUGACUCAGCACCAUCCAUGGACACCAAUAAAUGGAAGUCAAUAGUUGAACAACUAGCACCAUCAGAGAAGAAACUCAUCCCAUCAUCAGAAUCACCACCGAAACUCGAGCUCAAACCAUUACCCAACACUCUGGAAUAUGCAUUUUUGGGAGAAGAAAGUACUUUGCCGGUAAUCAUCUCAUCAUCCCUAAAUGACGAACAAAAAGGUAAGUUGUUGGAUGUUUUAAAAGAGCACAAAGGAGCAUUAGGAUGGAUCAUAGCAGACAUUAAAGGUUUAAACCCAGUAGACUGCAUCCAUUACAUUCACCUUGAUGAAAAUGCUAAAACUACUAGGGAGAUGCAAUGUCGGUUAAAUCCUAACAUGAAAGAAGUUGUUAGAACUGAAGUCCUUAAACUAUUAGAUGCAAGUAUCAUUUAUCCAAUUUCUGAUAGUUCAUGGGUCAGUCCUGUGCAAGUUGUCCCCAAAAAGUCAGGAGUCACAGUAGUUACGAAUGCUGAUAAUGAAUUGAUACCCACUAGAGUAACUACAGGAUGACGUGUAUGCAUUGAUUAUAGAAAGUUGAAUUCUGUCACACGUAAAGACCAUUUUCCUUUACCAUUUAUUGAUCAAAUGCUUGAUAGAUUAGCAGGCCAUGAAUUUUAUUGCUUUCUAGAUGGCUACUCAGGAUAUAAUCAGAUUCCCAUAGCACCAAAAGAUCAGGAGAAAACUACUUUCACUUGCCCUUUUGGCACAUUUGCAUAUAGGAGAAUGCCAUUUGGAUUAUGUAAUGCACAUGCUACAUUUCAACGAUGCAUGUUGAGCAUUUUUUCUGAUAUGGUUGAACGAUUCCUUGAAGUCUUUAUGGAUGACUUUUCUGUCUUUGGUGAUUCGUUUGAUCAAUGUUUACAUCAUCUAACACUAGUUCUGUAGAGAUGUAUCGAGAAGAACUUGGUCUUAAAUUGGGAGAAAUGUCAUUUUAUGGUAAAACAAGGUAUUGUUCUCAGUCACAUCAUUUCGAGCAAAGGUAUUGAGGUUGACAAAGCCAAGGUGGAUCUCAUUUCUAAUCUUCCUCCACCCAAAACAGUCAGAGAAGUAAGAUCUUUCCUUGGGCAUGCUGGUUUCUAUAGACGUUUCAUUAAAGAUUUUAGCAAAGUUUCUAGACCCUUAUGCAAUCUACUUGCUAAGGAUGUACCUUUUAUCUUUACUGAUUCAUGUCUUAUGGCGUUUGAAAAACUAAAGUAAUUGUUGACAUCAUCACCCAUCAUUCAGGCCCCGAACUGGAGCUUACCAUUUGAACUCAUGUGUGAUGCAUCUGAUUAUGCAGUAAGAGCAGUAUUAGGACAAAGAGUUGAUCGAAUUCCCCAUGUUAUUUAUUAUGCUAAUAUGACAUUGAAUGAUGCACAGUUGAACUAUUCAACUACUGAAAAAGAAAUGCUAACAGUAGUGUUUGCAUUGGAAAAAUUUCGAUCUUAUCUCAUUGGUUGUAAAAUAAUUGUGUUCACAGAUCAUGCUGCUCUUAAAUAUCUUCUCACAAAGAAAGAUGCAAAAGCUAGACUAAUUCGUUGGGUGUUACUUUUGCAGGAAUUUGACUUGGAAUUCAAAGAUAAGAAAGGGACAGAAAAUGUUGUGGCAGAUCACCUCUCUCAGCUCCAUUUUGACACAAUUACAGAGCCAUUAAUAUUGAAUGAGUCAUUUCCAGAUGAACAAUUAAUGAGUGUGGAAGUAUUACCUUGGUAUGCUGAUAUAGUUAAUUAUCUUGUUACAAGUAAACUUCCAGAGCAUUGGACCAAGUAAGACAAGGCUAAAUUCUUUGCAGAGAUAAAGAAUUUCUUUUGGGAUGACCCGUAUUUGUUCAAGUAUUGUGCAGACCAAAUUGUUAGACGAUGUGUCCCAGAAAAUGAAAUUCAUAAUAUUCUUUCAUUCUACCAUGAACAAGCUUGUGGAGGCAAUUUCAGUGCUAAGAAAACAGCAACUAAAGUUUUACAAUGUGGUUUCUAUUGGCCAACUAUAUUUCGAGACGCUUACACUUUCUGUUCUUCAUGUGAUAGGUGUCAACGAAUGGGGAGCAUUACAUGAAGGAACAUGAUGCCACUAAAUCCAAUUUUAGUGGUUGAGAUUUUUUAUGUAUGGGGUAUGGACUUCAUGGGACCCUUUCCCCCUUUUUUUGGCCAUCAAUACAUAUUGGUUGUUGUUGACUACGUAUCGAAAUGGGUAGAAGCAAUUCCAUGUAGGACCAAUGAUCACAAGGUGGUGAUAGCAUUUUUGAAAAGCAAUAUUAUCUCACGCUUUGGAUUCCCUCGAGGAAUAAUCAGUGAUGGUGGUGCCCACUUUUGUAACAAAGCAUUCAAAGUUCUUUUGACAAAGUAUUCAAUCACACACAAAGUACCGACUCCGUAUCAUUCGCAAACCAGUGGCCAAGUUAAGAUAUCCAAUCGAGAAAUAAAGCACAUAUUAGAAAAAACGGUGAGGCCAGACAGGAAAGAUUGGUCAUUAAGACUUGAUGAUGCAUUAUGGGCAUAUAGAACGGCUUUCAAGAUCCCGAUUGGGAUGUCACCCUACAGGCUAGUGUAUGGAAAAGCUUGCCACCUACCUGUGGAACUCGAGCAUCGUGCAUAUUGGGCCAUCAAGAAAUUUAAUUUUGACAUGCAGCAAGCCAGCUCAGAAAGAAGAUUACAGUUGGCAGAACUUGAAGAAAUUCGCAAUGAUGCAUACGAAAAUGCCAAGAUUUACAAGCAACGAAUGAAAGUCUUCCAUGAUAAGCAAAUUAUGAGAAAAUCGUUCACUCCAGGUCAGAAAGUGCUUUUAUUCAAUUCUCGCUUGCACCUAUUCCCAGGUAAGUUACGCUCUUGUUGGUCUUGCCCAUUUAUUGUUCAUACUGUUUUUCCACAUGGGGCAGCUGAAAUUAAGGACCCAAAGAACGGUGUCACGUUUAAAGUUAAUGGUCAAAGAUUAAAGCCAUAUUUAGAAUACCAACCACAUGGAGAAGACAUCGAAAUAAAUUUGAGUGACCCACCAAAUUUGAAUUGAUUUUUUUUUUUCGGUGAUUUGAUUUUUUUCUUUCUUUCUUUAUAUUAUUCUUUUGCUAAUUGAAAUUAUUUUUGCAUAAGUGUGUUUGUUUAACUAUUAAGUUUUCUCUUAUCAUUUUUUAUCAUGAGUACCUUACUUAGACCGUUCCUCCUGAACAUUCUUAAACCACUUCAACGUGUCAAAACUCAUCUCAAAAGGCAGAUUUAAUUUUGUAAAACACAUCGUAUUUGGGCUCUACAACCACCAGAGUUAGUAGCCUAUGUUGAGGGUUUAGAAAGCCAACUCAAAGACAUUGAGAGAAGUGUUUACGACAUCCAGUUGGAGCUUGAGGUAAAUUCAAUAAGAGGACGAUUUUAAUUUUCUUUGUGUGUUUUAAUUUGUUUUUCUGUUUGUGUGCUUUAGUUUGUUACCCCAGUGAAGUGGCGGAUAACGGUACUCCGUGACAAUCAAGUCGGUUACUUCAGUUUCCCAUAAUAACUGAUAUUCUGAGGCGAAGGUAUGGACAGAAACGAGAUUCUAGCGAAGCUUCACAAGCGAUUCCCUUCACUUCCUCAUAAUGCCCUCCUUACGAUCUAUAAAGCUCGGUCCGAACGCAUGCGAUUACUCAUGAGCAAUAACAUACCUGCUGAUAUCCGUUGGUUAAUUGAGGCGAAAGUACGAUUGGCAGGUGAGUUACCUCCAAAAUUUAUUGCAUACAUGCCUGGUUGUGGUAAAAAAACUUAUGCAAGAAAACGACGAGCUCGAAGAAUUUCUGUUGCUUGUCAUAAGUGUGCCAGAAUGAGUUGCAAUAAAAAUCCAUGUUCUUUAGGAAUGGUGUCUGAUAACAGGGAAGAUAAGAUUCAAUUCAUUAGGGAUGACUUGAAUAAGGAGUCAUUGGAUGAUAUCCUUUUGUCUCUUGAAACGCAUCCCAGUGGAUAUGUGCAAGGAGCGAUUCUCCAAUUAUGGCCAUUAUUCCAGAAAGAGCAUGCACGAUAUAGUCUCGGGAAUCUGACUAUAAAUGACCCUAUUUGCCAGUUUAUAAGAAAACUGGAUAGGACGCCUAUCCUCGACCCAUAGAGGGCGUUCAAGCCGUUUCUAGACGUAAAACCAUAGGAAGAUGUGAGCCACAGUCGCAACUACCUGUAAAUAUCCUUUCACUUUACUAUUAUUUUUUUUCACUAUUGUUUUAUUGUGUGUAUUAUUGUCUUUAAUAAUUUUAUUACUGUUUGCUUUUUUCUUAUUACUGUUUGUUUUUUUCUUAUUACUGUUUGCUUUUUUCUUAUUACUGUUUGCUUUUUUCUUUUUACUGUUUCCUUUUUGACUCGCGAGCCACGUGCUUUACGUGUUAUUUGACACUGACAUGUUACCUCAUACACAACUGUGACCCACUGUCACCAAGACUCUUAAAUGUGAUUUUGUUUUUGUCAAGCACUCACAAGUUGUUUUUUGAGAAGUAUCACAAUGGCAGCUACUCCAAAUAGACAAUUCAAGAACAUUUGUGUGCUUUCUGGAUUUACCUAUGGCAAACAUAAAGAGUUUGUUAAGACAGCCAUCGAUCUUGGUUGAAGUAUAGCAGAGAGAAAAUUACACUUGGUGUAUGGAGGAGGUAACCAAGGGUUAUCAAAAAUGGUCUCAGAAGCAGCUUUUGUUAGAGGAAGUCAAGUGUUAGGCAUCAUCCCCAGAGUCUUAAAACCAUUGGGCAGUUCAUCUGACUCAUCAACUGGAGAAGAGUUAGUCGUCUCAGGUAUGCAAGAAAGAAUAACUGAAAUGCUUAAUCAUGCUGAUGCUUUUAUUUUUCUUCCAGAAGAUCUUGCAACACUAGAGGCACUUAUCACACUAGCAUCUUAGGUCCAUCUGCACAUCCACCAGAAACCCAUCGGUUUGUUAAAUGUCAAUAACUUUUAUGAUGGCUUUAUCAUAUUUCUUAAGCAUGCAAUAAAAAACUAUUUCAUUCCUUCUAAUGUGAAAAAACUUUUUAUUUGUGCUCAUACUGCUAAUGAGCUACUUGAUCUGUUACAAGCUUAUAAACCGGAGCCAGACCCCUAGACCUUUGUGUUGGAGCGCCCAAAUAAUGAUGGUAACAGUAGCCGCAGUAAGAAGUAUAAAUUAGAUUUAACUCUCCGCUUGUAAAUAUUUUUUUUUGUGUUGCACCACCCAGGUGAUGUCUUCUAAACUCUACUUCUUUCCUUUCAAACAUUGAGGACAAUGUUUCGUUUUGGUUGGGGGGAGGGAAUGAUUGACAAUUGUGGAAGUUUGGUUAAGUUUUUACUAAUUUUUUGUUGUAGAAACUAACUAUUGCUAAUUUUUUGUGUUGAAGAUGGCUGAAUAUGGAGGGCAGUGACUCUAGAAACACAUCUUCAUUGUUUAAAAAAAAAUUAAAAAAAAUUUCUUUUUCUUUAUUAAGUUUUGAUGUUUAUUUUUCUUCUUCUUUUUUUCUCCUCUAUAAAUAUACAUUUUCCAACUUUUGAGUCGAAGAUGGCUGAAUAUAGAGUGUAGUUCCUCUAGAAACGCAUCUUCUUUAAAAAAAAAAAUCAUUUUCGUUUUCUAUCAUUUUACGUGUAACUUUUCUAAUUAGUUUUUAUGCAUCAUUUUCACAUUUCUGCAUGCAUAUUUUCCUUUCAUGCUUAGAAUAGGUUGGGGGUAGAAUGUUGUUUGAAAAAAAAAAUUGUGUGAUUUGUUUUAACAUUGGAUGACAUGAUUAAUUUCAAAUUUUAGUAUUUGUAUUAUCUUUGGUCUUAAGCGAUGUUACAUUAUGUUUGCUACUCUAUAUAUUGAUGUCGGAGACAAAUAUGAGUUGCUUGAAGGAAUGAACAUGUCAUAAUAAGUACCAAGUGAGUUUUUGAGCCUAUCAUUUUUCUUGGAGAGUAAAUCUUUUGCCCAUUCUUUAUACAGCUUAACAGUUUAUUAUUGUAUACACGAUCUCUAGAUUUCUUUUGAGUUAACCCUUAAAAAAAUUGUAAAAUAAAAAAAAAGAAAAAAAAUGUGUGUUGCUACAUUUGGAGGCCCAUCUAACUAGUAGAUAUGGAUGAUUAUUUAGAGCCCUAAAAGACGAUGGAAAGGCCAUCUUUGAUCCGUUUGAGCCUUUCUAGCCAUCCAUUUUAUUAAAUAUCCAUAGUUAACCCUCUUUGUCAACUUAUCAUCUUGACCCACUCCGAUUUAGAGUAUUACCUGAUGUCUUAUAAGUUCCAUCACCUAUUUAUGUUUAAGAAAAUGUAAAUAAUUAUUUUAUUUAGUGAUGUUGUGCCAAGAAAAAGCAAAAAAAAUAAAUAAAUAAAUAAAUUCAAAAAAAACUAAAUAAUAAUAACAAUAAUAGGUGAAAUCCACCUUGCAACUUCCAAAAAAAAAGAAAUUUCCUCUGCAUUUUUCUCAAACAUACACUUUGUUUUCCUUAUUUCCCUUCUUUGUUAACCAUGUCCCUAGCCUACGUUACAUCCUAAUAAAAGUCCUUCCUGAUUUUAGGGAACUAUAAUCUGAAGUAGAAGCUAGUUAUGUGGGCUAAAAAGAUGUAGUGGUGCAUAAUAAAAAUAAAUAAAAGAAAAAAAAAAGAUAAAUAAAUUGGGUUGACUAGCAUUUUUAUUUGACUUGAGAUCUAUUAUUUCUAAGCUGAGGGCAUAUUUAUUUCAUCUUGGUGAGAGCAUGUGAUAUCACUUCUUUAUUAUUUUCUCUCUCAAUUACCAUUCAUUGGAGUGACUAUUUUUAUUGGUUUUAAUUUCUUUGUGAGAGUGUCACUACUUCCAGUGAGAUUUUGGGGUUUGACAUGUCAUUAUUGAAAGUAGCUAUAACAAAGUCUACUGGGUUGAUUCAUGUGGAUGGUUGAUGUGGGUGUGAUGUUGCUUUAGACUGGAGAUAAUGCUUAUACUUUUAUUUGAUUACUAUCAUUAAUCUGAUGGAAUAAAUAUGAGUGUUUCUAUUUAAAAAAAAAUAUUUUGAAUUUGAAUUUUGUUUUCGCUUUAUUUGCUAGGGACUAGCAAUAAGCUAGUUGGGGGGUGUGUUGAGUGUUAGAAAAGGCAUAUUUAUAAAGGAGAAAACCGUCAUUUUACAUUUCAAGUCUUACUAACAACCUUUACUUUUAUGUAUUUAACCUUCUUGUGAUUUGAUUACAUGUGUUUUAUUUUAAUUAAGUAUUUUAUGUAUUUUAGGGGCAUUAUAGUCAUUUCAUAAUAAAGGAGAGAUCAGACGGCAAAACGGAUAUCACUUUUGAACUCAGGACGGUCGAAAACCUUAGGAGUAGCAUAAAAGGAAAAAUAGCACUAUUCACAUGUACGGUACUAUUCACGUGUACGGUACUGUCUACGUUACUGUUCAUGACAUUGUUCACAUAGACGGAUCGAUGACGUGGCAUUGACCGAUGAUGUGGCAUUGACUGAUGAGGUGUCACGAUCCUGUUGGGCUAAAAUUCUUAUGUACUGUUGAUGGUGACGUGGCAGCAUAUCAGUGGAAGAAAAAUCUCGCGUACGGUACAUGCCUCACACAAGAUUAUUUUCAACCAAACCGCGUUACUGUUCAUCCAGGUCAAACUGUGUUACUGUUCAUCCGCGUGGUCAAACCACGUACUGUUGACUGAUGACGUGGCGCAAUCUUGAGCGUCCAAACUGUUUUUAAUUCGAUGGCCAUGAUUUACUCCAUGUAUCUAUAAAAACGGGGCCUCCCCCCCUAAUUUGAUAUCUCUGAAUCCAUUUUUGGGAUCCAUUUUCUGUAAUUUCUUCUCCAUCUUGUAUUUUCUUCAUAUUUUAAUAAAUUUCCAUUUUGCCCCUAGUUCAAUUAUGAGUAGCUAAUUUUCUUUCAAGCUUGGGUUGAAGGUGAAGUCUCAACAUGUGUCAUGGGCUUAAUUUGGUAAAUUUAUUUUCUCUUCCCCUCUAGUUUUUUUGGAUAUUUUGACUUCUCAUCAACAAAUAAUACUAAUCUUGUCUAGUACCGCAUUGGUUUCACCGGCCCUCUAGUACAAGGUUAUUAUAUUUGUCACGAUAAGCCCUUAGCACCAUAUUGAUUAGAGCGUGGUUCAUGAGGUGUGGAUUCCCCCCUCAUGAUUUAAUUGGCAUUAAUACGGAUUAUUUAGCUCAUGAUGCAUGUUGAUACGGAUCCAGAUACCCAAGUACGUCAUUUCAAUAGAUUUCGUUUCAAUUUAUUCUCGCCAUUGCAAUUCCAAUUUUAGAAUUUAUUAUCGCCAUCUCAAUUCCAAUUUUAGGAUAAUUUAAAUCACUUCCUCCACAAUUUCAACCACCCAUUUACAAAAUUAAUUUUACAUAUAAUUAAAAUCCACCUCCUCGUAGGAUCAACACUCGUCACCAUUGAUCUAUACUACAAUAGAUUCGUGCGCUUGCGAGUACAUUAAAAUUUGCACAACAACUAUAAUUACUACUUCAGCAACUUUAACCAAAUUACUGAGGUAUCUUGUGUUUAUUACAGAGAAGGGCAUUUAUUCGACAAUGGUCUUGGAAAUCCUGCUUCAGUCAACUAUGUGGGCAUCUACAACAGACAGAACUACAAUAAUCCUUAUUCAAACACUUAAAAAAUUGGAUAGAGACAUCACCAAAACUUCUCAUAGAGCAAUCAUAAUCAACAUACUGUCGUACCCAGUGGACAAAACAUGCCUGCUCAACCACCUAGAUUUCACCAGUAAAAUCAGGGGAUGGAGAAUGGAGCGGUUGUCCAAAGCCAAGUUGUAUCCUUAAGAAACUUAAAAAAUCAGAUUGGACAGCUUACCACAGCACUAAGCAACAGACCUCAGGGCAUUUUACCUAGCAAUACAGAGGAUCCAAGAAGAAAAGGAAAAGAACAUUGCAAAGUGAUUAAUUUAAGAUUUAGAAAAGAUGUUCAUAUUCCAAUUAGUGUACUAAAAAGAAGAGUUAACCCAUUGUAACCCAAGAAGAAACUCAACUUAAAACGGAGCCACAACCUCCUACUUUCCAGCACAUUAGUGUAAAUAGCCAAGCUACAACAUCGGUAAAAAAUGAUGCUCCAGCAUGUGUUGGUGAGGAUGCUGCAACACCACCCACAUUAGUCCAAAACAUGGCAAAAGAGAAGCAAUCUGUACAACCUGCUAUAGCACAACAGUUUAGACACCCGCCAUAUUUUUCUCAAAGAAUCUAGAAACAAAAACAAGAUAAAUAAUUCAAUAAAUUCUUAGAAGUGUUCAAGCAGCUACAUAUCAAUAUUCCUUUUGUGGAAACCUUAAAACAAAUGCCAAAUUAUGUGAAGUUCUUGAAGGAUAUUUUGGCAAGGAAAAGAAUGCUUAGAGAGUUUGAAACAGUUGCUUUAAUACAAGAAUGCAGCUAUAUGCUUCAUAACGAGAUACCUCAGAAGCUGAAGGAUUCAGGAAGCUUUACAAUCCCAUGCUCUAUAUGAACUAAAUACAAUGACAAGGCGUUUUAUGAUUUGGAAGUUAGCAUCAAUCCCAUACCUCUAUUAGUGUUCAAGCAAUUGGGAGUUGGAGAAGUUAAAUUAACAACAAUGACUUUACAACUUGUUGACAUAUCUCAUGCCUAUUCAAAAGGCAAGAUUGAAGGUGUAUUGGUGAAAGUGGAUAAAUUUAUUUUCCAGUAGAUCUUAUAGUGCUGGACUUUGAGACAGAUAAAGAAGUACCAAUAAUUUUAGUCAGACCCUUCUUAGCCAUAGUUAAGACCCUAAUAGAUGUACAAAAAUGAAAAUUGACUAUGUGGGUUAAUGAUUAGUAAAUUACACUCAAUGUGCUAGAUGCCAUGAAGAGUAUUGAUGAUGUUGAAGACUGUAAUUUUAUCAGUGUUAUAGAUUUUACUGGAGUAGAGAGAUUAAACAGAUACUGCAGUAACGAAGAAAUCAAGACUGUAACAUUUGAAGAACUUGAAGAAGAAGAUCUUGAAACAGCUGACAUAGUAUCAUUAGGAGAGAAGUAACCCGGAAGAACUUACGAGCACUUUAAAUCUUUAAAUCUUUCAAACGCGGAAGUAAAGUCUUCUAUUCCCUCUGUUGAAUCAUCUCCUAUUUUAUAAUUAAAACUUUUACCUUCACAUUUGAAGUAUGUUUACCUUGGUGACAAUGACACACUUCCUAUAAUCAUUUCAUCUUCUUUGAUUACAGAACAAGAGAAGAGCUUGGUGGAUGUAUUAGGGAGAUACAAUAAGGCCAUCAAACGGACUGUGGCAAAUAUCAAAUGAAUCAGCCCAUCCAUAUACAAGCAUAAGAUUUUCCUAGAGGAUUACUACAAUAACUUAGUAGAGCAACAGAGAAGAUAAAAUCCCAUCAUGAAAGAAGUUGUGAAGGAAAAGAUCAUCAAGUGGCUUGAUGUUGGAAUUAUUUACCCAAUAUCAAAUAGCUCAUGAGUAAGCCCAGUACAAUGUGUUCCAAAGAAAGGUGGAGUAAUAGUCAUAGCAAAUGAAAAGCAUGAGUUUAUUCCUACAAGAACAGUAACUAGAUGAAGAGUUUACAUAGAUUAUAAAAAGUUAAAUAAAGCCACCAGGAAAGAUCACUUUUCAUUGCCUUUCAUAUAUCAGAUGCUGGACAGACUUGCUAGAAAAGAGUACUACAACCAGAUUGCUAGCACUAGAGGAUCAUGAGAAGACAAUAUUCACUUGUCCCUACAGAACCUUUGCCUUUAGAAGGAUGUUAUUUGGCCUGUGCAAUGCUCCAACAAUUUUUCAAAAGUGUAUGAUGUUAAUUUUUUCAGAUAUGGUUGAGCAAACACUUGUAGUAUUCAUGGAUAAUUUUUUUGUUCUUGGGGAAUCACAUGAUGUCUGUUUGCAUAAUGUAGAAAAUAUGUUUAAGAGAUGUGAAGAGACAAACUUAGUGUUGAAGUACGAAAAGUGCCAUUUCAUGUUACAAGAAGGGAUAGUUCUAGGCCACAAGGUCUCUAGAAAGGGAAUAAAGCCGGAUAAUACAAAAAUAGGGUGAUUAAUAAACUUCCACCACCUACUUCAGUCAAGGGCAUAAGGAGUUUCUUAGGACAUGCUGGGUUUUAUAGAAAGUUUAUUAAGGAUUUUUUUCAAAAUAUCCAAACCUUUGUACAUGUUGCUGGAGCAUGAUAGACCCUUUAAUUUUGAUGAGAAUUGCCUAAAGGCCUUUGUUGAGUUGAAGAAAGUCCUUGUUACAGCACCAGUUGUUGUAGCACCUGAUUGGAGUAUGCCUUUUGAAUUGAUGUGUGAUGCUAAUGACCACUUUGUUGGAGCAUUGCUAGGGCAAAGGCAAGAUUUUUCACUCUAUUUGUUAUACUAGUAAGACCCUAACUGAUGCACAACUCAAUUAUACUACCACAAAAAAAGAGUUGUUGGUAGUUGUUUAUGCAUUUGAUAAAUUCAAAACUUAUUUGGUUGGCACCAAAGUGACUGUUUAUACGGAUCACUCAGUUAUAAAGUACUUGAUUUCAAAGAAAGAUGUCAAACCAAGGUUGAUUAGGUGGAUUCUUUUACUACAAGAGUUUGAUCUAGAGAUCAAAGAUAGAAAAUGAAAAAAAAAGUAGAUCAUCUCUCAAGGUUGGAAGCAGAUGCAUGCAUUUUAACUAAGCAAGAUGUAACAGAAAAAUUUCUUGAUAAGUAUUUGCUAAUAAUAGAGCAUGCACAAAUGUUGCAACAAGCUGGUUUUCCAUGGUAUGCAUAUUUUACUAAUUAUUUAAUGAGUGGAUUACUACUGUCAGAUUUGAGCUACCAGCAGAAGAAAAGAUUUCUCCAUGAUGUCAGAAGCUAUCAGUAGGAUGAUCCCUACUUGUACAAGAUGUGUUCAGACCAUGUGAUCAGAAGAUGUGUUUCUGACGAAGAAAUUUCAAACAUUCUACAGUCCUGUCAUGCUGUCGCAUAUGGUGGACAUUUUGAAGGACAUAGAAUAACAACAAAAGUUCUUCAAUUAAGUUAUUACUGGCCCUCUAUUUUUAGAGAUGCUUAUGAAUUUGUUAAAUGUUAUGACAUGUGCAAAAGAAUAGGGAACAUGAAAUGCCACUGAUCAACAUCUUAGAGGUAUGGGGAAUAGAUUUUAUGGGACCAUUUCCAUCCUCUUUUAGCAUCUUAUACAUCUUAAUUGUUAUGGACUAUGUAUCCAAGUGGGUAGAAGCAGCAACAUUGUUCACAAAUGAUGCCAAAGAAAUGGUAAAGUUCAUUCAGAAGAAUCUUUUCUCGAGAUUUGGCACUCCUAGAGCUAUUGUUAAUGAUGAAGUGUUAGCCUAAAGAGCUACAAAUAAUGUAAUUUUGAUGAUAACAAACAUGUGUCUUAAGUGAUUCAAUAAAUAUUGUAUUUCACAAGUUUAUUAGUUCUUGAAAGAUAAUGUUUAUACAAGUGAAUAAAGUGAAAUCAAGUUCAAGACACUCAAUAGACAACGGCGCAAUCAAGAAUAAAGUUUAGAGCUUAACGGACUAAUUAUUGCGACAAAUUCUAGUAAAGCUGAUAUGAUUUAAUUGAUACAUGGUUUAACAUUUGAGAAGCUCAAUAUUUUAUUUAAAUCAUUACUUUUCAUAAACUAAAAGGUUUUAUAUUUAUAAGAUAAAGUAUUUUGUGGAUUUGAGUAAUUUGAACUAAAAUAAAAAAGUUUUGCCAUCUUUGAUUUUAAUAAGUAUUUUUUUGAAUUCUGGAUUUGGACUUGUUUACAAUCAUUUGAAACGAUUUGGGCCAUACCAUAAUUUAUAAACGUUUGAGGACCCGAAUGAAAAUAUCCAAAAAUGGACAGAGAGUUAGCGGCUAACCACCUGAGGGCUAGUGGCUAAUCGCCUGAGGAAAAUUUGAUAUUUUCCAAUGUUGGACUAAAUUGUAAAGGGUUUGAGAAUUUUGAAAUUCAUAAGUAUUUGUUAAAGUUUGAAAAGAACUUUUUAAAAAAAUAUUAUUAUAUUUUGGGCCAUAUCACAAUUUUAAAAAGUUUUAGGAAUAACAAGUAUUAUUUGGAAAUUCUGAAAUUGGACCUGUUUGAAAAGUUUUAUGACAUUUUAGGCCACAGUAUAAUUACAUAACGUUUUGGGCACAAAUGUAAUUUUGUGAAUAAUAAUACUAUAGCCAGGUGAGCUUAGAGGCAUGGACAUAGGUGGGAGUUAGGAUUGGCAAAAAAGCCUAGGUCGGCCCAAGCCCGUGACAGCCCAGCCCACGCCCGCUGGCUUUAGGUCCAGCCCACGACUUAAAGUUAAGGACAAGGGCACUCACGUGGUGACUUAAGCCUGGGCUUUAUAAUAUAAUGCAUACAUAUAUUUUUUAAGAAAUAAAUUAUAAUAUAUUAAAAAUUUUAAAUUGAAAAAAAAAACUAAGAAAUAAAAAAAGGUCGAGAUUAAGUAAUUAACAAAAAACAAAACGAAACUAAAUUCUCAAAACCUAAAAUCUCUAAAUUUAUCUCUACAUCUCCAGCCGUUGCAUCAGCCUCUCACUACACUCUCCGUCGACAGCCAACAACUGAUGUUUACUGCCUUACCCUCACACCGAAUUAAGGAGCCACCACCGUCAGUAGCAAUCCACCAUCCACGCGCGAGGCAGUAGAUCCAGCAACCCAGCAGCAGUGCAACACCAAACGGGCGACGCAACAGCGAGCCACACCCACCAGCACCACCAGCGCGAUGUAGCUGCAGCCAAUCGAACGCGCGCGAUGCAGCAGCAGUGAUCUCAGCUCCAACACGACCCAAAACCAGCAGCACCAGCAACGCAAGCGAACCAACAAUAAACCAUCACCAACUCCACCCCAAGUAAGCUUUGAUUUUUUUUAAUUAUUGUCGAAAUUCUGAGAUUACUGAAGCCAUUGUUGAUGUUGUAAUGGAGAGUAGUUUUGUGGAAGAAUAGAGAGAGAGAGUGAAGAAGAAGAAGAAGAAUGUUUCAUUGUUGUCAUAGCAAGUGGAUAAUGAAGAAGAAGCACUGUGUUUCAGUUUCAACCAUAAAUUCUUUUAAAAAUUAUUAAAGGGUAUUUAACAUUUACCUAGUUUAUCGUAUUUUAUCUCUUGUAAUUUGCAUAUUUUUAUUUGAUAGGCACUUUCUCUACUUUGUCAUCAAAAUUAAGCAAAAUUUUCACUUAUAUGUAAUUAUUAUUUUUUUAUGAGAUUUGGUGGAUAAUUGAUACGCUGUAGGAAAAGUUUCUAUCUAUAAAUGAAAAUGCCAGUAGCUUUCAGUCAAUAAAAAAGAAAUUAAAGUAAAAUUUUAUUAAAUUAUUAAAAGUCCAAGCCCUGUCCUGGUCCAGCCCAGGCCCGCGCAAGCCCGGGCCAAGCCUGCAAUUUUCCAACCCUAACGGAAGUUGCCGAACCACGUAAAAAUCAUUGUGUUUGCUCUCUCUUCCCUUAUUCUUUUAUUAUUGUAAUUUAUUGAAUUUAUUGUUUUUUGUUUCAUUAAGGGAAUAGAUUGAAUUGUUGUGUGUUUUGUUUAUCUUAAGUUUUAAAAUCUCAAUUCACCUCCCUCUUGGAUUGCCUAGUUAGUAUUUCAAAAGGAACCCUUUUUGUCAACAGGAUGAUUGCUGUAGCAUUGGCUAAGUAUGAAAUCAAGCAUAAGGUUGCUACAGUAUAUUAUCCACAAACAAGUGGUCAGGCAGAAGUGUCUAAUAAAGAGUUAAAAAAAUUCUAAACAAAGUGAUGAAUCUACUAAAAAUGAUUGGCCUAUUAGACUAAAUGACUCCUUAUAGGCUUAUCGAACUUACAAAACCUCACUUGGCAUGUCUCCAUACAAAAUUAUUCAUGAUAAAGCUUGUCAUUUGCCAUUAGAGCUGGAGAACAAAACAUAUUGGGCAGUUAAAUAACUGAACAUGGAUAUGAUAGUUGCAGCAGAGCAGAGGAAGCUACAACUUUAUGAGUUAGACGAGUUGCAGUUAUUCUCCUAUGAAAAAUGCAAGAAUCUACAAGAAGAGGACUAAGCAAUGACAUGACAAGCAGAUAAAAAAAAAAGAGCUUACUCCAGGCUACCAAGUCUUGCUCUACAACUCGCGAUUAAAACUCUUCUAAGCAACACGAUGGUCAGGACCUUUCAAACUUAUGAAGAUUUAUCCUCACGGGGAUUAUGAACUUCAAGAUGAAAGGACAGGUCAAGAAUUAAAGGUGAAUGGACAAAGAAUAAAACAUUACAUUAGAGCUACUAUGAACAAUCCAAGGAAGGAUAUGUUCUUAAAGGAUCCAGCUUAAGCAAUCGGGGAUGGUAAGGCUGAAGAACCUAAAAUCAAGUGCUGAUCGUCAGGCGACUCAAUAAAGGAAGUUAUUUCCAAUUUUUAAAGCUCUAAAUUUAGUCUUGAAUAUUGUUUAAUAUUCCUUUUUGUUAUUUUAAAUUAUGCAUCCAACUUCUUUAUUUUCUUGUCAUUAAAUUGCAGUAAGAAAAGUGGAUAAAAGAAUUCUUAAAUGCAAAAAAAAAAUGCUGCAAAAUCACUCACAACAAGGCAAACAAAAGAUGCUUCUCAAACAACAUAUGCAUUUACCAUUAUUUCUGUAGCAACAGAUUGGUUAUUACAGCAAUGAUUUUUACCGUUGCAUUGUCAGUCUUAAUUUUUACCAUUGGUGGCUGACACGCUUAUGUCAGGAGAUCAUUAUUUUUGACAAGAAAGAUAGUGCAAUCCCUGAUUUUUCGUGACAUGUAUCUCUUUCUUUCCAUUAAUUUUUUUUUUAAAUUCAAAAUUUUCCAAACUUAUCAUUUUAAUUACCUCUCUUUUUCCACUUUCUUUUUAUUAUAAAUUCGGGUUUUACUUCCACCAUUUCAAUUUCAUUAUCACUUUCUCUCUUUCUGUCUGUAAUUCUUUGUAUCUUAAUAUUUCUUUCCCAUGUUUUUAUUUUUUCAACACAACAAAACUCAUUUUGAAUUGUUGCAACAUACCUAACAUCGAAGCCCGUGCUGGUAGAUUGAAAGAUCCUAAGCGUUUCUACUACUUUAAAGCCGAGAAAAAAUAUGAAGAAUUUAUCGAACCUAAAAAAAUUUUAGAAGAAAAGGGUUUCCAAUUUCCAAGACAGCCAACUGGGACGAUAAACAACAUGCACACUGCUGCAGUACGAAGAUAUUGGAUCAAGUUCUAUGCUCAUCGCCGAGACCUAGUACUCCCAAUUGUUAAGGAGAUAUGCUCAAACAUAUUAUAGCAAGAGCAACAUAAUAUUUUUGUGAGGCAAGUUCAAGUCCCCUUAGAUUCUUAAGUUAUCAAUGUUUCUUAUGACUUGCCUACUGUUAUUGAUUUUGAGUAUACUACGUUUGCUAAAAAUAUGACUGUAAAGAAGUGGGGGGAAGUUUUAAAACCCUAACUACAUAAGGCAGUGAAUGGAUGAAUGAGGAAGGUAUGGUGGUUAAUAGGAUAGACUUAAAGCUUAUUGCUAAGGUGUGGGUGAAAUUAUUGAAGUCUACAUGAUGCCAACCAUACACACAACCAUAGUGUCCCAGGAUAAAUUGCUACUUGUUUAUGCUAUUGUAAAAGGUUUAGCCACAAAUGUUGAAAAAAUCAUUGAACAAGAAAUUAGAGAGUGUGCCACAAAGAAGCAAAAGUUUGUUGCCUUACUAUUUCUUUCACUUAUCACAGGUGUUUGUGAGGCCUCAAGAGUAAAAUUUAUUACAAAUGAUGGGAGAAUAAAGAAUGAAGGGGCUCUCACAGCUAGGACAAUCGAAAAGAUUGUUGGUGAAUCUACUGCUACAGCAACUCUAGUACAUCCUACUGCAACUAAAUUAGGGCAAGCUACAUGGAUUGGAAAGAUGCUGCAAGAACUCAAUAAAAGCUUGAAUGUAUGUGUCCAAGUGUAAAAGGAGGAGAGUUAGAGGUUUUGGACCCACUUACUGCAUCUUGAAGCAUAGAAACAUCAAUUUACCAUGUAUAUGAAGAGUAAACAUGCAGAUUUCCUGAAUCUCUGCUACAAUAAUUUAAUUUCCAAAGAGCUGAGGAGACUACUCCAGUAGAAGAAAAUGAAGAAGCCAAGACUGAAUGAGAGUCAGGAGAAGAUCAACAGUAAGAAAAAAGAAAAAGUUGAAGAUGAUGAAGAAGAAGAAGAAGAAGAAAGUGAAGAUGAGGAAAAAAAAAAGAACCUCCAAUUUGUGACUCCUAAAAGAAAGGGAAAAGAAAAAAUCUUAAUCGAAGAGGAGUCUGAGACUAAGGAGCAAGAAGAUGUUGAUGCAGCUAUCGAAGAGGCCAUCAACAGAGUUACAAGAUAAAAAAAAAAAAACAAAGAGGAGUAUGACAGAACUCAUUGCGAGCAUCACUGCUGAAAAAUCGGUAGCAACAACUUUUUCACCAGUUGUCAUAAAGAAAACUCCCAUAAAGUUUCAUGUCCAAACUUAAAAGCCAUCCAGCAAAAGAAAAUGGGCACAACCUUCUAGAGGUGUUGUAGCAUUGUAAGUACCAAAAGAAAUAGAACCUAAGAAAACAAAGCCAACUCUACUUAAAGUUACAGAAGUGGCUGGAACCCUCCAACCAGUUAAAUUAAAAGACAGAAAAAGAAACAAACAGUUGCUACACCACUGGGUUCACCAAAGGAGCAUUUGAGAAGUGGAUCGAAGAAGUAAUAGCCCUGCACAACAUAUGUUGCAGCAUUGCUUUCAACAAUAGGGGAGUAUCCCAUACCUGCCCAGUCUAGCUUUGUAAUUUCUAAAACUUUUCUUUUAUUUAUUUUAGCUUGUUUAUUUUGCAUUUCUUGAUUUUAAGUUUAUGCAUGAUUGUUUUUAAUUUAUUUUAAGUACAUGUGAGGACGCAGCACCUCUCAAGUUUAGAGGGCUAUAUUAUGGUGUAAUAUGUCUAUGAAUGUAUGUGUUUGUAUUGUGUGUGAAACUCUAUUUAUCUACCAUUCAUAUUUGGAUUAGAAAACCCAAUAAAGAGGAAUUAAGUGAUAAAUGUAGGAUGAAUAACUUCCAAGUAGAGAUAGUUUAUAUAUGAGGGUUGGAACUUUGUCUUAACACUUAGGCUUUGGUUGAGUUUUGUGAGUAUGCUGUAGCAAAACUACGUAAAGCAAUGUAGAAACUAUUAGCAAUCUAAAGUUAAAAAAUAUCUUAAGUUUGGGGGGAACCUGAAAUUUUUUUCAGAAUUAUCACAAACUAUGCUAGAUAUGAGAUAAAAUUAUGCUCUAAUGAUUCAGUUGCUGAGUAACUAGGGCUAAGUAUAUACCCCAUAUGCAGACUUGAGUAAAAAGGCAACAAAAGUUAUUAGUAUUGCUGCAGCAACCCAAGAAGCAAGAGAGGUCCUUUGUCUAAGAUACUGAGUAGUCAGGUUUGUUCAUGAGCCCCAUGUUUAGCUUUUAGUUAAAGGUGUCUAAAGAUAAGAGUAUGUUAUAGCGUCUUAGAUGUUUUUGUUGCAACAACUCUGAGCUAUACAUUGAUCGAGUAAUUAGGUAUCAUCAUUACAAGUGAUAGGCAUUCACAUAAAAAAUCAAUGUUACACUGAAAGGUACUUAUGGAAAUUUCUGUGGCACAGUUUGAAGCCAUUUUUUACCGUUGUUCCCCUACAAAUAGAAAUGUCUGUUGUUAUCUUUGAGUUAUACUUGAUGCUUGAGUAAUGUUACAGCAAUUUUAGAACUUGAUCAAAGUGCUACACACACACUCUGGAUAAAAUAAAACGUAAGUCUAGAACUAGAACUGCUGAUGGUGAUUUUGUAUGUUUAAGAAUGAGAUCUGAGGGUUGAUGAAUCCGAGCAAGCUAGAUGACAGAGCUAAGUUGUUUGUUGCAUAAUUGCAUAAGGACAAGUAAUGAUUUAAGUUUGAGGGCAUGAUAACUCUAUGAAAUGAGAGUUAUCAUGGCAUUUUUAGACUUAAAACUAAUAUUAUUUAGAGAGUGAAUGAUGUGUUUUAAUUGUAUUUUUAUUGUCAUUUUUGCAUGAAUAUCUAUUUAAGUUUAAUUUUAAUAAAUUGAUUGUAGCAAUUGUUGUUGUAGCAAUUGCUGUAGCAAUAUAGGAGCAAAUGAGGGCAAGACUACCUAUGUGUUAACUGACAAAGUAAUGACAAGCGGCACAAAAAGAUAUGCGAUCUGAGGUUUCCAAAAAAGAGACACGUGGCCACAUGCUUUUGGUUGCCUUAAUUCCAAGAUAUAAAAAAAGCACACAUGAAAGAAACAAAAGGUGGCCAUCACACAAAGAAACAAUAGAGAGAAAAAGAAAAAAAAUAGAACAAGAGAGAGUUCAGGGCUGCAGAAAGGGAUUUCUAAGAAAAAGAAACAGAGAUCGCAAAAACCUAAAAGAGGGACGUCUUGUAUUAUCGGAACUCAAUUUCUCACCUUUAUUUGCUUGUUUUCAUCUUUCUAUGGAAAUGUAUUUGAUGGUAAAAAUGAGUAUUGUUACUGUUUUAUUGCCUAUCAUAAACUAAACUUUGAUGUAAUUGGGUGUUAAACAAGCUUAAUGGUUAUUUGACUUAUAAAUGCGUGUUGCUUAGAAUAUGUCGUAGCAUUUUGUCUUGAUUUUACUUAUUGCAAAUCUUUAUUUCGGUUGACCACCCAUUUAGUAGAUACUAGCUAAGGAGGAGCCUCAAAAAGGCCUGACUUAGUAGAACAAAUCAAGGCAAUACAUAGUUUUAGAUUGAGUUUCCCAAGUUGAGUUAAUCUCUAUUUGAAUAGGGUCAUGCUUAAUCUAAGAUUAGUGAUGAACAACACAUAAGAAUUCACCUUGUAGGGCAAUUAAAUUUUAGAACAUAUAAUGCUAUAUCUAAUGUUAGAACUGGUCACUAUUAGAUUGCAUAUAGAUGUAAGAUAUCUAACAUGCGACAGCUGAGGAUGUAUGAGAGAUAUCUAACUGGUCACUGUUAGAUUGCAUAUAGAUGUAAAAUAUUGACAAAAUGGACUAUAAUAUUGUGUGGUGUGGUGUAUGUGGUCUAAUAGUGUUAAUUACUUAUUUUGACUUUUUCUCCAACAUUGCAUACUGCUAUAGUUCAUUUUUUACCAUUCUGUUUAAGUUUUUUCUCCAAAUAUCAGUGUUCAAUGACAAAAUAACCAAUCAAGCAUAGUUUAAUAUACAUGAUAAAUAGAAAAAGGUGGACCAAAACUCUUAUUCCUUUACAUCAAAGUACAAAUUUAUCCAACCCGAGCCGCACAAAUAAUCUGCUUCGCUUAAUAACUGCAGGCUGCCACCCGCCAAAUUUCUAACAAACAACAACCACAUCAACCUAUCCAUUCUCCUCAUCAUUAGAAAAGAGUAGUGCUGACAAAUCUUCCAUAGUUACUUUGUUGAUUUGUUUAGAUCUACAUCUUGAUCUAUCCUUUCAAGCUUUGACUCAAAAGCCUACAAAAAAUCACGGACCAACUUUUCAAGUAGUCGAUCGCUCGUUAACUCCAUCCUGUUGUUUACAUUAGCAACGUGAUGUCACAAAGCUAUGGUCGUUACCGUGAGAGUUCACCACUAGCAGCACUACUAGAGCCACCAUCAAUCCCUCUUUAUCAAACCACCAACCCAACAGCUCAUAGUCGCCAACAAAAAAGAGGUGUUUCUCUGGUCAGAGAGGGAAAAAUCCCUCUUCGGCUUUUUUUUUAAUUUAAUCUCCUAUUUAUUUUUAUGCUUUAAUUUUUCUAGUUUUCCUAUUUUAUCUUCUUUUCUUUAUGGCGGUUGUUUUUCUUAUUAUUUAUUGGGUGUUAUUUAUCUACUCCUCUUGAGAUCUUAUAUGGUCGUAAAUGGUGUCAAUGCAAAGUUCAAAUUAGAAUUGUGUUAAUGUUCGAAUCAAAGGAUGCCUAUAUUAGAGUUGAUAAAUGACUCUAAUAGUGGCACAUUGAUAUUUUGAUGACCUGUGCGAGUAAUCGAAGGCAUGGUUUAAGGACUCAUCAAGGCUUCUUAGGGAUUCUCUAGAUGGGGUGAUUAUGUUAUUGAGUUUUGCGGUUUUUUUAUUGUUUUUGUAGUUAAUAUUGUGUUAUGGUGUAUUGUGUUAUUCUUGUAUUAUUAUUUUCCUUCUCCGAUUUGGAAAAAGGGUUUCAUCUGCAUUAGUUGACAUUGACAACUGUCCAUAAAAUUCAUCAUGAUUUUAAGUAGUUUUAAUUGGUGAAAUUCUUUUUCUCCUUUUGGCUUGUAAUCAUAGUUAUUUUUAGAAUUGUAGGAAUUGUCCUAACCUAGGAUUGAGUCAUAAGCCUUAUCCGAUAUAUUGUACUUAAGCUUAGCCAUCGUGUAUUUAUGCUUGUGUGGCAUAAUAUUGUGUAUUUAAGCCCCUAUGGCAUUAAAUUGGUGACCAAUAAUUAUUGAUCCUUAGUCAAACACAUACUUUCAUUUCUAAAAUCAAAAGAUAUGUACAUGAUAAAUAAUAAUACCAACAAUAAGAGUUUGCAAGCAUGGUGUUAACAAGAAAAAACAAUAUAGUUUUACAUAGCUGGGAGUUGAAAAUUCAUAAAAGAGAAAAAUAAAACCUUUUUUGUUUUUCUGCAAGAAGUUUGUGAGCAUGAGAAAAUAUAACGCAUUACAGUUGGUAAAAUACACUUCUUUAGUCCUUAAAAAAACAUAACAUAAAGGGUCUUGUUUGGUAUGUGGUAUAGUUAUAUGGACCAGACAGUUUUUGUUUAAUCCCAAGCUUAUCCCAUGUUUGGUAAGAUCGUGGAUAAUGAUGUUAUGGUACCAUAAACCCACAAAUUCGCCCAAACUCGCCCACUAAAAACUAUUUGCUGUGGAUAAUUUUGUGAGUUACUAGUGGAUUUAGUACUAUAAAUUUAAAUCUGCUGCCAGUUGCGGGUGGAUUUGGUAUUAAUAAAAAAAUCAAGAGGGUAUUUGUUAAGUGCUGCAGAAUGCAUAUUUGCAAAGAGUAAAACCAUCAUCUUACACUCCAAGCCUCGCUAACAUUUCUACUUUUAUAUAGUUAAAUCCUUUAAGCUUUAAUGUCUCGAGAAUCUGACUAUAAAUAUCCCAGUUUGUUAGUUUACAAGAAAACUGGAUGGGAAUCCUAUCAUCGACCCAUAGAGGGCGUUCAAGUCGUUUCUGAACAUAAAACCAAAGAAAAAUAUAAGUCACAAUCACAACUACCAGUAUAUAUCCUUUUAGUUUAUAGUUCUUUUAUCAUUUGCAUUAUUACUUUUAAUAAUAUGAUUUUAUAUCUAAUCAUUGUUUGUUUCUUUUUAUUGUUUGCUUUUGACUAUUAAGCCAUGAGUUUUACACAUCAUUUGACAAAUACACCACCCUAUAUACAAUUGUAUAUCAUUAUGUCUGUCACCAUAUCUUUAAAUGCGAGUUUUUUUUUCAAACAACUCACAAAUAAUUUUAACAAUUAUUUUAAUAGAGAUAACUUUGAGCAGACAACUCAAAAAGAACAGUUAUGUCAUAGUCGCGUCAUAGCCAAAAGAAAACUACACCUGAUAUAUAGAGAAGGUGAUCAAGGGUUAUCAAAACUAGUCUUAGAAGCUGCUUUUACUAGAGGAAGUUAAGUGCUAGGCAUCAUAAAAAAAGCCCUAAAACCUUAGGGAAGCUUGUUAGGCCCACUAAUUUGAGAGGAGUUAGUUGUUUCAAGUAUACAAGAGAGAAUAAGCAGAAUGCCAAAACAUGCUAACAAUUUUAUUUUCUUGCUAGAAGAUCUUGCAACUCUAGAUGCACUAUUUACAUUUGCUUCUUGGGCCCAUUCGAACAUUCAUCAAAAGCCCAUCUUGUUAAAUGAUAAUAACUUUUAUGAUGCCUUUAUAGAAUUUAUUAACCAUGCAAUUAAAAAUCAUUUCGUUUAUAGCCAAAAAACUCUUUAUUUGUGCUCUUACUACUAAUGAGUUACUCAAUCUUUUAGAAGCUUAUAGUCCAGAGCCAAAUCCCAAGACUCUUGCGUUGGAUUGGUCGAUUGAUGAUGGUAGUAGUAGUAGUAAAAAGUAAAAAUUAGAUCUAACUCUCCAUUUCUAAAUAUUUUCUAUUGAUGUGUUCAAGUGAUGUCUUCUAAACUCUACUUUUUUUCCUUCAAGACAUUGAUGACAAUGUCUCAUUGAGGUUAAGAGGAGGGAAUAAUUGACAAUUGUGCAAUAAAUAAUAGUUGUGUUCUUGUAUUCGUGCUAACCUUUUCUAAAUUUUUGUGUCGAAAAUAGUCGAAUAUAGAGUUUAGUUACUUUAGACAUACAUCUUGAUGUGCAUCUUCUUAGACUUUUGAGUCUAAAUAAAAAAAAAUUUGAAUUCUCCAUUAUGAUAUUAUUGAGUGCCCAUUUUUGUCUACCUUGGCCAUCUUGACAAAUUCAAUAGAUUAGUCUAGACACACAUGACAGGUGGUGGUGGUAAGUUAAGAUUUUGUAAUACCUAAUCUUUUCAUUUUAUUCGUAAGCAACAAUCAAAGGUAGUAGAAUUUACCAAAAAAAAGAAAAAAAGAAAAGAGACACUCUCACUCACUAACCAGGUCUCCUUCCUGAGCAAGCAAAGGGUAUUCGUGUAAAAUGGUGAGAGUUGAUCAAGCUUAUGUAAACUCUUACUUAGUAACUGGGCCUCCUGCCUAAGCAAGCAAAAGGUGUUUGCGAAAAAUGGUGAGAGUUCGAUUUGUCCAACCCAAUACUUUUUUAAUAACCGAGCCUCUUUCCUAGGCAAGUAGAGAGUGUUCACGUAAAACAAUUAGAGUUGGUUAGAAAUAUAUUAUAAAUAAACUUGCUACCUAAGAAAAAUAACUUCAAUGAAGUGGUGAGAACAAAAAUACCACUUUAUUUUAACCAAACCCUAUAAUCAUUAUGUUAAAGAUCACUGCACACAAAAGAAGUUUUGCUGAAUUGUUGAUUGAUGGUUGAGUGGCGAAGGAGAAGAAUAGAACUUCAAAGUGUUCAUUUAUUUGGUAAAUAGAUUUUAAUUUGAUUUGGAUUUUAUAGCUUAUUGCUAGGGACUAGAGAAUACAUAUUUACAGAAGGUUAAAUCAUCAUUUUGCACUCCAAGCCUCACUAACAUUUAUACUUUUAUUUAUUUAAGUCUUUUAAACUUUAAUUUUGUGUGUAUUGUUAUAAUGCUAUGUAUUUCAAGGGUAUUCUGGAUAUUUCAAGAUUAAUGAGUAGUCAGACAGCAAAAUGAACACCGUAGGAAGGGCAUAAAGGGUAAAACUAUAAUUUUGAGAUUUUAAUGAGGCCCAACUAGCGUGCCAUUGACUAGCUAACAUGGCAGUGACCAGAUGAUGUGGCAGUAGCUUAUUGGACUGAAAAAUGCUAAUGUGGCAUGGACCAAUGACGUGACAUUGACCGAUGAUGUGGCAGUAUGCCAGUAUCCUAUUAUACCGAAAAAUGUUGAAGUGGUGUUGAUUGAUGAUGUGGCAACAUGUUAUUGGACCUGAUGAUUUGUUUCAACUAAUAAGAUCUUGCCACGACACAAUCCUGAGUAUUCGAAUUGUUUUCAUCUAAUGCCCAUGUUUAACUCAUUGCAACUAUAAAUAAGGGGCUCCCCUAAUUUGAUAGCGUUGAAUCUAAAUUUGAGCUCCAUUUUUCAUAAUUCUCUCUUCAUCUUGUAUUUUCUACAUAUUUUAAUAACUCUAGUUCAAUCAUGAGUGGCUAAUUUAAUUUCAAGUUUUGGUUGAAGGUGAAGCCUCAACAUGAUUCAUAGGUUUAAUUUGAUAAGUUUAUUUUAUUUUCCUCUCCGAUUUAUGUGGUUGUUUUGACUUAUUGUCAACAGACAAUGUAUCCUAUCUAGAUUUUGCAUGGUAUAUUGGCUCUCUAGUGAUAGAUCAUUACUGUCCGGCAUAAUAAGCACUUUACACUAUAUUUAUUAAAAAGAAAAUCUCCUCCAGUAAUUGUGGAUUUUCUAGACUCAGUGUUGACUGAGAGUGCAUCUAAGUUAUUUAGUAAAUGGUCUUGCCACAUUGUCGACAGAAAGCUUAUUAUUGUCUAGCACAACGUGUACUUGACACCACACUUAGCAGAAGAUGAUUACUCUCUGGGGACACUAAGUGCUUGAUACAAUAUUUAUUAAAGUGAGGCUUAAGUUUUGGAAAUACCCUCUCAUAAAAUAAUUAGAAGUAAAAAGGAAUAUUAAGCCCUUGGUGAAUUAUUGAGUUGAAUUCAGAAACUCAAGUGUUGAUAAAAAAAAUCAUCUCUAACCAAUUUACAUGCACACUUAGAAAAUUAACUCUACAUAUAACUAAAUUAACCUCCUCGUCAAUCGACACUCGUCACCAUAAAUAUGUACUACAAUAUAUUCGUGUGCUUUCGAUUACAAUAAAAUUUGCACAGCAGUAUCCGUCAACCCACAAUUUUAUUUUUUUUAUAAAUUUUAAUUAUUAAAAUCAUUAAAAAUAUUUAAUUAUAAAAAUACAUAAACUUUGUUAUUAACAACCACUUGUUGCCCAAGACCUAACCUAGUCUUUUUAAUUAUAAAAAUACAUAAUUGCUAACACUAGCUUGAUUCACAUCUUUCUCUUCACAGUAUGUAUGUAUGUAUAUAUUUUUAAAGAAACUUUUGUAGCUAUCAAUGAAAAGGCAGCCAUGUUAGUUGAAAUUGGUCUAUCUUAGAUUUCUCGAUUUUGGCCAAAAAUCCACCAAAACGUGCCUACUAAUCUAGUUAAAAGCUCAAGCAUAAGCAUAACUCCUAGCCUAACGUUAAUUGUAUAUUUAUAUGCAAUAGUAAGGGUAUAUUUUUACAGAAAUGUUUAGAUGAAUUUUUAGGUGUAUUAUGAUUUGGAUGUGGUAUUAUGAUUUGGAAUAAAUAUGUCACUGUUGCCACUGUCGCGAGUUACAGGCAAAACUACUGAUUUGAAAUAAAUUUAUUGCUAUUAUCGUAACUAUGGGUUAUGGGCAAAACCUAUUGCAGGUUAUCGGUGGUUUUGAUAAUUGUUAAAAUCCACAGCGGAUAGGUUUUUGAAAAAAACUAAAAACCACAGCUAGUUGCGGGUGGGUUAGGCAAUUUAAACAUUUUGUUGGUGCCGGAUUAGUAAUGACAAACCUGCUGCGGGUGGUACUCAAUGUCAUUCUAAAUCAUGGAGUGAGUAUAAAAGUUAAGUAUCUCAUGUGGGACCCACCCAUUAAUCCCCAAAAUAGUGAAAAGGUAUCCCAUGCUCUUUAUAGAAUAAUUACUUAGGAUAAGCGUUUAUAAUGUUGGAAAAAUAAUUACUGAGGGACAGUCCGUUUCUCUAAAUGAACUAUUAAGUUGAGAUAAUUAAUGAAGCAUCAAGUCUCUAAUACUAAUGCUAGCUAGUUUCGAGCCCAAUUUCUUCUGCAAUCGACAAAAGAUAACCACAACAUUGUAUAAUAACUAAACGAAUAAAUGCCCUUUCAAGAAAUUCCAAGAUCGCCACUUCAGUGGACCAUUCCAUAAAAGAUUCAAUCAUUGGAAAUUGGUAUUAUUCCCUGUUGUUUGUGAAAGAAAAUCCAGAAAACCAAAACGGCAGAAGAUUUUGCGUUUAGAGCUGAAAUCACUUAAGCUCAACGACAUAGAGUCUUGCGUUUUGAGGAGUAAAAGAAAUACUCUUCUGAACGACAUGUGGAUUUGUCGUUUAAGUUUAAGUGAAGCACGCUUGUAUCACGUGCUUGGGUUCAGCUUGCAAGGGUCGUUGGAAGCUGUUAAACGCAUGAGGAACUCACGUGAGUUGCUGGGGAAUUUCUGGGUUCGUUAUUGAAGCUGUUAUCAGCAGCUGAUGUGGAAGCAACAGAUUGGUAUGCAGAGAGAGCUGAAGAGAGAGAAGGGGACUGGUUUAUAUAUAUAGUCAGUUACGUUCUUUCUAGUGCAUAAGCAUUACUCUGUAAUUCAUCUUGGUAAAUCAAUAAAGCUGUAUUUUGCCCUCCCGUGGAUGUAAGCUAGAGAAAUCUAGCUGAACCACGUUAAGAUUCUUUUGUUCUCUGAUUCAUUUACUUCUGUUUUGAUUCUUAAUUCCAAUCAGUUAAUUAUCUAGUUCAUAGGUUCAUCUUAGUCGCAGCUUUUCAGUCAUCAAUCUUGCAGCAUCUUGAUUAGUUGGUUGGUGAUCUUGGGGAAGAAUCUAAGGUUGCUUAGUCUGUUCAUAGCUCCUUAGUCUCUACAUUCCCUUUUGUAUAUAGAAGUAUUAUUCCAAGUAAAAUAAGGAGAACGUUCAACGGAUCCUUUAAUGCUUUAAUUUCGGAGACUAGGGAUUUGGAAUUUUAAUUGCUCGUGUCCUUUUUUUCUUUUAUAUUUCAAAUUAAUUGUACAACUCAAGUCAUUUGGCAGCAGAUUUACUUGCAACCAGCAAAAGAAUCAUUCCAGUGUUUUGGAGUGGCGAAGAUAGGCCAACAUUUAUCCAUCAAAACUGUACUAAUUAAUAAUAUGUACUAAUUGGUGAUCAGCCUAACAAAUAACUUGUAUGACAACUUACAACUUCAACUGACAAGAUAAUAAAAUUAAUGAUUCUAUUUGUAGCUAAAAUCUAUGCACAAUAAGAGAUAUUAAUGAUAGGACUUUCAAAAAUAAAAAUUCUAAUUCAUAAUAAUAAUAAGGAACUUCAAAUAAAACAUAAAUUAAUAAAAUAGUCUGUCACUGCAAAUAAUUUGAAAAAACUCCGAGCUUCAGAGUUUUCUUUGUCAUUUAUUAAUUAUUUCUUCGUCAAAUUAAACCAGCGAGCUUCUUCAAAGACCCAACUUGUUCAAUAGACGAGGAAAAUUGCUUGAAUUCCAUGAAUUUUGACAGAGAUAAGAAACCUAAGAGGAGGGACGAUUAAUAAUUAGAAAAAGAAUAAUGUAAACUUUUAUAUAUGUAUACAUAGAUGUAUAAUUGAUACUAAGCGAUUAAAAAAAUUUACCCGGUAAUAUGUAUAUAUAUAUACAUAUACACGCACACAUAUAUACAUAUAUACAAAUUAUAAGGAGAUUUUGAAUGAACCUUGCAAUAGAGUGAACGGAAAUAAUUAUUCCCUUGCAGCCUAUCUGAACAGCCGUUGCAUUUAUUGGAGGUGGAUUCUCUAAAAUAUGCUUCUGGCCUUUGGUUUAUAUGUAGCACUUUUUCACCAUCUUGUUGGCAAGAAAGUGGGCAGAUAUAAAUGUGGUUUCAUCAGUCAUACGCUCAUGUGUGGAUACCGAACUUGAGCUAAGAUCAAAAUUGUAUGCCAUAGUCCAAUUCGGAUUUUGCAAAAUUCGGAUGUUUGUACAUGAGCAUUAUUAUGUAGUUCAGAAUAGUAGUUCGUUGGCAAAUACCAGAAUUUUUGAAGAAAAUAUUCAAUGAAGAAGAAAUAAAUAAGAUUACAAUCAAUAAACUCGUCAGCGUCAACCAACCGUACAACGCUCUUUCGGCCAGAUGUGCGGAUCUGAAAUAUUAAAGAUUUACAAAACAAAUGCAUAAGUAAAUAAAUCAUGCAGAUGGUUUUAAAAAUUUCAUGAUGUAAUAAAUUUAAUUCAAUUAAUAUUUAUUUAUUCAUGUGAACCUUUAAGAGGUGAUGAGUACUUUCGGGAUCGGACAAGCAUUUUUCGCAUAUUCUGGCGCAACAAUUCAAACAAUAUAUGUUCCUUUGUUUAACAGCCUUUCCAUAAUUGCAAUUUUCAAAGCUUCUCUCUUGGAAGAGAGUCAAAAGACCUUGGAGCCACUGGGGUUGAUUCCCUGCCUGAAAACACGAUUGAAAUACAAUUGAUGUUAUUAACUGAUAAAAUUCAAUAACAAAAAUUUCGAGUCCUAAUAAACAAACGAAGUUGGAUUCAAUAUGCUAAUCACCCUUGACACGAGAUUAUUAAAAGAUCAGCACAACUAUAUGAUCAAAGCUGAAUCUAAAUUCUAAACAAAAAGUGAAAAUUAAAGAAAAGACCGACCAUAAUUAUCUUUUGAUGCUGGAGAGUGUAUAUUUUUUAGAGAGAGAGAGGAGUGUUAGUAAAGAGAAUUACACAAGAAUCAAAGAGAAUUGAGCAUUUUAUAUAUGUAUGUGUCUUAUUUGUGUCGUAUUGCUGUCCGAAAAAUUGUAGCACUGUUUUAAUUAAUUAAUGUGAUAGGUUUAAUGAACAAGAAAAAAAAAAGCACGCGGGUAGAUUAAUUUCUGUUUUAGCAACUAUAAUAGGAAACGUUUGAGUCUUAUUUGGGUAGUGUUUGUAUCUUAAUUAACGCAAUCACUAUUUUGUUGCCUACUCUAGUGUUAGAUGAGGAAACUUCAAAAAGAAUAAAAGUGGAAAAAAUAAAUUGCAAUGAGUUAAUGGGAAACAAAUAAUAAAUGCACCAAGUUGAUUUGGAUUAAUUAAUUUUCGACAUCUAUAAUUAAUUAUAGGGUAGGGUUAGUUGAACCCACAAAAUUCUUCUCUACACAUGUAUAAAAGAUAUAUUUAUUUUUAAAUUUUUAAAAUUUUAGAAUGUCAGAAUUACUAUUUAUUUUUUUCUUUCUUUUACAGAUGCAUAUUCUCUCUCUAAUAUAACAUCUUGUAAACUAAAUUCUCACUUACACUCUAACAUGGAUAUUGAUUCUUAAUCUUUCUUAUUAGAUCAUAAUUGCAUUUUUCAAUAAAUCAUUACUGCAUUUGAAUUAUUGAACUAAAACUCUCCUGGAGCUCAGCCAUAUGUAUAUCUACGCUGGGACCGUCAUGUAUUAUAAUCCAUGUUCUUCAAUAAGGUCAAUGUAUGCCGAUGUCAUUCGAAUCAGGAUUUUCAUUAUCAAAGAUUUUACGUAUUUCAUGGCCUGUAAACGUUUUUUUUUAAUUUAUUUUUUAUCGUGGAUUUUGUUUUGUUUUUAAUUGAUGAUGGCCAAUAGAAAAUUUGAAUUUAUCAAUUUUGACAGACGAAUUUAUCAACUUUCGACAGAAACAUUAAACAUUCACAUGCAGUUGAACUUUGAAAGAAGAAAAUAUGUGAGGAAUAGGAAGAGAAAGAGAACACAUUACAUUCGGUAAUUCCACAAAAAUUUCAUAAAUAAUAAAAAUUUAAAAAAAAAAUGGUUCUAGAAAUGAAAUUUGUGGGUUCAAAUAGUCUCACUCUUAAUUAUAGGAGAAAGCAUAACUACACCCAUAAAGUUUUAAAAAAUGGUCAAAGAAACUCCCAAUUUCAAUAAAGGAAUCCUCCUUUGCUAUAAUAUUCUUUGGCGCUAAUUAACCACAAAAAAAUGACUCAAUGUUUUAUAAAAAUAGAAAAAUAAUAUUAAAAUGAAUGUAAUAAUAUAUACAUUUUAAAAUAAUUUCAACAUUAAAAAAUUAUUUAAUAUUUUACAAUCUAUUAGACAUAUUCUAUUAUAUUAAAGUAAAUUUUAUACAAAUGGAAACAUAAUAUUAAAAUAUUAUAUAAUAGCUUGAAUUAUUUUGAAUUUUACAUAAAAUAAUUUUAACUUUAAAAUAAUGCAUGAGAUAUAUUUUAUUCAUUGUAAAAUUUAUUUAAACCAAAGAUUUAUUUAAAAUCUUUAUAAUAAAUACAAAUAUAUUAAUGAAAUAAAUAUAAUAAUUUAUAUUUUAAAAAUUAUUUCAAAUAUUAUUUUUUUACUAUUAUUAGUCUACUAGAUAGAGUAAAUUAUUUGUAGCACACUUUUAUAUUUAUUAAAAAUUUUGAAGCUAUUUUUUUACUAACUAUAUGUGAAGAAUAUUAACUAGAUAAAAUUAGGUUUUGAUGUCCAUUAUUGAAAUUGGGGUUCUUCAUGACCAUUUUCCCAAAUCUCGGAGGCUUAGCUAUCUUUUUCCCUCAACUUGCAUUACAGAUUAUGGAACUGAUUUUACCAAAAUUAUAUACACCGAAAGAUUCUAUUAUGUUUCUAUUUGUGUGUGUGUGUGUGUGUGUGUGUGUAACGUACUCACAACAAUAAAAACUCUUUUCAUUAGGUGUAUCAAAUAUGGGGACUUUAGAAAAAAUAAUAAUAAUAGUAAUAGUAAUAGUAAUAAUGUUGUAAUACAAUAAAUGAUAAAUUAAUAACCUUAAUUAAAUAAUAAAAUUCUCUGAUCCCAACUUGUGCCUAUUUGAAAAAUUACUAAUUUAGAUAAAAGCAUAAGAUAAUAACUUUUUAUUCUAAAGCAACAAAAAGAAAUACAUAGAUAAUUCAUGAUUCAGACCAAUGCUUCGUAUUCUCUUCAUUAAUUCUUUUGGUUAAUCUAUUUGUGUUUCAUAGUCAUAAACUUGUAAUUUUUUUUCUAGCCCCAAGGGCUUCAUUGUUAUGUAGUUUUUACAUAAUUUUAUUUGAUUGGUUACCCAAGUUUAAAUCUUGAGAAGAUAUAAAAAUCAUCAUUUUACCCAUCUAAAAUCGAAACUUAUAUACAUAUAUAAAUUAAAAGAAAAAACUUGUUCAGUGCUAAAAUGAGUUUUCCCCAUAUAACUUUUCCAUGGAGGGAUUUACCUUAAUGACAAUGUGAAAACAUAAGAAUUUGAUUGAUAAGAGAAACAAAGCUUCUCAAUAAUGAAUGUUUUAUUGAAAAAGUUUGAAUUAAUAAAAUUAGGGUUUUGCGCCCCUAACAUAGUAGCCCUAAACAUCACAAAUUUACGAAAAUAGACAAAUAUAAAAUAUUAUUUUAUAUUAAUAUUCUUCUAUUCUAAAUAAGAAAAAUAAAUAAAUGGAACCCAAAUUUGAUUUCUAAAAAAAUAAAAUCCAAAAAAAGAGAAAUAGGAAAUAUCUUAAAACUAAAAAAAGACCAAGAAAAAAUAGAAUUUUUAGCUUGAGCACGGACCAAAAGGGUGCAAUCUAUUUUGGGCUUUGUUUGUCUAAUCACAAACUUCGAAACAGUAUAUUAUAUGCCCAAAACAAACACUUGUAACUCACGUUAUGACCUCUAGAAUGUACCCUACUCAUCUCAUGCAACCAUCUUACAUCGUUUUGCCAACCAAGUACCCAUACUUUGGAUCAUGGUCUUCAGUUUCUAAGACAAAGUUGUACACUUAACUUGAAUGGUUUAAUUUUAUGAUGCUAAUUAGGGUGCGUGCUUUGAUCAAACUCGAUAAAGUACAAACACAAACCAAAAAUGUGCAAUCUAUUUUGGGUUUUGUUUGUUUAGUCACAAAUUUUGAAACAAUAUAUUAUAUGCCCAAAUCGAACAUCGGUAGCCUAAGUUAUGACCUCCGGAAGGUACCUUAUUCAUCUCACGCAACCAUCCUAACUCACUUAGCCAACCAAGUAGACAUACUUUGGACCAUGGUCUUCGGUUUCUAAGUUCAAGUUGUACACUUAACUUGAAUGGUUUAAUUUUGUGAUGCUGACUGGGGCCCCUUUUUUUUUUAUCAGACUUGAUGAAGUACUACGGGAUUUUGUAUCUUUCUCAAUGCAAAUCGUAUCUCAUGGUGUUAUAAGAAGCGGCCCACUGUAUGAAGUGUUGAUCACUUGCUUUCACAACAGUUGAGCUCACAUGGCUAACCUUCCUAUUCUUCGUGUUUUGUGAUAAUAUAAGUGCGUUACACACAUAUGACGGUAAAUCCAGUCUUGCAUGCGCGGUCGAAACAUAAUGAGAUGGACUAUCAUUUUCGUAUAAGGUUAGCCAUGUUGAUAUUUUGAUAAGAGAUUUAAGGAACUCCUACCGCAUUCAAGAUGCACUGUUUUGGAUUUCCUCAAUGAAGAUUCAUAUAAUCUCUUUGUUUGCUUUACUUUUUGUUUUGUCUAUAUCCUUGUGGGUCUUUUGAUGGAAUAACUCUCACCACUUAUUCAUCUUUUUAUUUUUGAAUUUAACAAAGCUUAGGGUUUACAGGAUCCAAUUUUUAGUAAUUAAGUCAAACCACAUAACUGACCAAAGAUUGAUAACUCAAAUAAAUACGCAUUACUAAUAAUAAUAAGUUCCGAAAACCCAAAAAAAAAAAGCGCCCUUCACUAGAAAUUUAAAUGUCGAAUGAAGAGAAAAAAAAACAAUUGAAGAAUUUGAUGAAGCAUGCAGUGCAAGCUAUGGCAGAUUCACUCUGUUCAAAAGCCAUUUGGCGUUGCGAUAAUUGGAUGGAACUGACAUGAUAUGAUUAACCUAUAAUUAAAGACAGAUAAAUAUUAGAGUUAGAAUAAAAUAAUUUAACUAAAGUGAAAUUAAUUACUUAAUUAACUAACCUUGCAAUCGAUUGAACAAAAGGAAUUAUGAUGUUCAAGCGUUGCAUCGCAGCCGUCACGUUCACAAUUAUUGCCUCCAUAACUUGUCUGUGGCCUUUGCUUAAUAAAUAACACUUGGGCACCAUUAUGGACGCGUGGCUAAAGAGUAACAUAGAUUUAGAACACAUAAAUGUAUAAAGCGAGGAAAGUGAGGAAAAAAAGUUUUUUUUUUUUAAAGUGAGUAAAUAUUUAAUGACAAAUUAUUAAAAAUGAAAUUAAUAUAAACAUUAUUUUUGGACCGUAUGAAAACACUAAUUCAUUAAAAUAAUACUCUUUUUUUUCUUUUUUUAAAGUAUUGUAAUAAAGAGAAAAGAAUAAUAAAAAGUCAUGGUUUAUGAAUAUCACAUACAUAAAAAUAAGAUGACAACUUACUUGGAUAUGGCUACAAUCAAGCAACUCGUUGGUAUUGUCCAACUUUACAACUGCACAACUUUGAUUUCUACCAGUGCCAUGUGUGAAAAUCUGAAAUAUGAAAAAUUGAUGUAAAGCAAUAUCAAAGCAAAAUAAAAGAUCAUGAUAGUACAGAAUCAAUAAGUAUAGAUAGUAACCUUUAAGAGUCGAUGAUUCGCAUGAUCAUCGCAAUCUUUACAAAUACAAGCUCGACAUUCCAAACAAAAAAGGUUCUUAUGUUUUCGAUUAUGACCUUGCUCUUCACAAUGCUCGUCGAAUCUUCCUUUAAGAAGAGCGGUUAGCCAACGAGGUACAAUAAGAACAUUGUCCUGAAAAACAUGGAAUAUAUUAAUACAGUUAAAAUUAAUCUAAAUUAUAAGAAACAACUAAGGAUAUAAAAAUAAAAGCCAACCAUUGUUUUCUUGGUAGGGAUUCUAGCAAGAGAAUAAGGGAUUCUAGCAAGAGAAUAACUUUUGCAAGAGGAGAGGCGUGCUAGCUAGCUGGCUAGAAAGAGGAUAAUUGCAAUGAAUCAAAUAGAGAAGAAAUUCGAACUAUUUAAAGAGAUGAAUGUGCCGUAUUUAUGUCGUGUUUGUGUGACUUAAUAGGUCGUAUUAUGUUGCAAAAAGGGAAAGAACGAAAAGGGGACAAAUAUAUAUUGCAAAAACGGGAAAGCAAGGAAAAGGGGGGAAAAAGAUUGCACGUUCAGAAGGUGACGCCCCGUAUGGUUAAAUUCUUAUAUAUUUUGCAUGUUAAUUAAAUAUAGGAGUAAUAACGGCAUGUAAUCCCUUUUAAGUUUGAAAAGUACAAUAAUUAUAUUAGAAAUAGAUUUUGCUUUGGGGAUGUUAUAAUUAAUGAAAUAGGUUUUGUUAACAAAAAUAGUUUCUAUUUUUAGCAACUAUAAAAUGGAAAAGUCCUUAUUCAAGUUGUGCUUGUGUCUUAAUUAACGCAACACUAUUUUGUUGCCUACUCUGAUCUAGUGUUAGAUCAGGAAACGAGAAAGAAAAAGAAAGGAACAAAAGUAGAAAAUAGAAAAUAUAAGUUAUUGGGGAAAAAAAAUAUAUAAGCACAAGUUGGUUUGGAUUAACUAAUUUUCGAGAUCUAUAUGUAAUUAAUUAAAUGGCUUUUACACAUUACUCAGCCUAUUAAAAAAAACUAAGAAGAUAAAGCAGAGAUAAGUCUUUUAAUUAACUUGUGUUAUAGACCAUGUGGAAUUGUUUGUGCCAGAAAGAUAUCGAAAGAAAAGCGUCCCUCUAUGAAGCCGUAAUUUUGUUACAACAUUAAUAAUGUGGCUAACAAACCAGUUGAAAGGGUGAUUUUAAAUUUAAAAAGUAAAGAAAAUAGAGAUAUGAUAAAAUACAAUCUUUGUAUUUAUCUCAUUGAAUUCACUGUCGGUUUUAUCUCUCACAUUUGAAAUUGGAUUCUUGAAGAUUGUCUCUACUCCUGAAUGAUUAUACGAAAAAGAUUCGACAAGCUGUUCUUAUUCCAUAGCACUUUAGUGCCAAAUAAUCUUAAUUGUUUUUGUUAUUCGAAUUGAUUUGACAGUGAAUUCUUGUAAAUUUCAGUUGUAUUGUCAAACUGGAUUAUGUUUAUAACAUAGCAGUCUCCUUCCAAAUCCAAGUGGACAUAUAAUGUUAACCUAGCAAAACCAUUUAUAGGAACGGUUAACUUGUCCUUCUAGCUCAACUUAUUUUCAGUUUAUUGCCUUCAAUGUUUGACAGGGAGGCUUCUAAAUGUGCUGCUGGACGGUCAAACCAGACAAGGAAUCAUUGAUUUGAUGUUCUUGUUGAACAAUAUUCAUAUCAAAUCACGCUUUGAUGAUGUUAUAUAUUUAGUUAUUACCUUACAUGAAUUAAUGAUCUUGCCCACUUAUUAAAGGAGUUUUAAUUUUUUGUCAUUUAUGUUGCCUUAUUUUGCUGGGUCAUACCGCACUUAUGGUGCGUUGGUAGCCACAUUACCUGGUAUAAAUCAUGAUGCACCAUUCUUUCAGAUGCUCAUAGUUAGCAGUUUGUUUCCAGUAGCAUUUUGUAAAAGAAAGAUACAAUUGACUACUCGAAAAUAUCAUUAUAUAUAUAUAUUUGUUACGUUUGACAUUAAUGUUGUGAAACAUUAUAAAUGCAACAUUUAAUUUUUAAUAGCACAACACUUUUUUUAUUCUCUUUUUGUCUCAAAUGCAUAGUUGAUUAGUGUUAAAAAUUGUCUAAUUAUCAAGCGGUAAUAAUGUUAUUUUGUGCUUAUGUUAUAAUUUUAUUUGUGUUUAUGAAAUAUAUUAGGAAUUAUUAAUUAUGUAUUAAAUAUAUCUAAUUUUAUAUAUUUUUAAGUGUUUAUAGGUAAAAUAUUAAUUUCACGCAAUUCGAGGCUCCAAACAAAUAAACGGAGGUCAAAUUUGGAUUCUGGAGGUCCGAAAACUUUAAGAUCAGUCAAGAUCGACUUAAAAUUGAGCUUGUGUAAAAAGAGUUGACUUUUUUGCUUGACCGAGCACUGAUUGGAUGAUGAAAUGAGCUUACAAUAGAUUUGAGUGCAUGGGAUAGCAGACAAUUUUGACGAAAUCUCAACCGUUCAUGAUUCAAUGGCCAUGAUUGUGCCACGUGGCAAUGGUUGGUGAAGCAAGUUGUAGGAUCCGAAUCUUUGUAUUCGGGUCGACCCAAUCCAUCCAUUAACCCGCCAAAUCUCAACUAUUCUUUGGCCAAAUUGAUCAAGUCAAACAAUGCCACGUGUGAUGUUGACUUUUGAAGUUUGACUAGCCGUUGGAUCUUGAUCUAUUGGUUGUGAGGAGCGCAUGCAUGAAACUUAUGAUGGAUGGUAAAACACUGGAUUAUGAAUUUAUUUUUCUAUAAAUUGAGGCUCAUUUUUAUGUUUUUAAUGAUCUCUCUACAUCUCUCUUCUUCUCAAAUUCUCUCCAUCUUCCUGUAAUCUUGAUUUUCAGGUGUGUUUUUAAUAUUUUGUAUAAUUAUUUUAUAAAUAAAUUUAGUUUUAUUUUCAAUUUUAGUUGUUUUUAUUACGUAUUUCUUUUAUCAUCUUGCAACUAUCCAUGCCGCCAUAGUAAUUAAAAACUAACAUAUGUGAAUUAUUAAUUAGAGCCAACUUUGAAUUGUGAGAACACGAACUUUAUCAAUCAGAUGAAAUUUGUAUCUUGUUACUUUAAUUUUUUUUUUCCUUUCAAUUGAACUACAUAUUCGAUGUAGAGUUUUUAUAUUGAUUACUCAUUAAGUUUUUUAGUUUCUAAGUUUCCAAUCUCUUCUCGUAUUUGGGGAAAUAAAAUUUCUCAGUAGUAAAAUGAAUAUACUUUUGUGGUAUUCCAUUUAGAGCUCAUGUGUCAACGUCUAAAGCAAAUAUAUAUAUGUUGAGCUCUUUUGGAAUGACUUGAACACUUCAACAAGACCAGCAUCUUUAGUGCUAUCCAUGAUAUAGAAUAAUAUAGCAAUUAUAUGCUAAUUUAAAAUUAAAAAUCAAUAUUUACCAACAAGCUGUAAGUUACUUGCUAUAUUUCAAUUAAUUAAACUAUAUGAGAUUACCACUCUCUAAUAUUCAUUGAUAUUUUUUAUUAUCUGUGCUCUUACGACUAAUGAGUUACUUAAUCUUUUAAAAGCUUAUAGUCCAGAGCCAAAUCUCAAGACUUUUGUGUUGGAUUGGUCAAUUGAUGAUGGUAGUAGUAGUAAGAAGUACAAAUUAGAUCUAACUCUCCGUUUUUAAAUAUUUUCUAUUACUGUGUUCAGGUGAUGUCUUCUAAACUCUACUUUUUCCUUCAAGAUAUUGCAGAUAAUGUCUCAUUGAUGUUAAGAGGGGGGAAUAAUUGAUAAUUGUGCAAUAAAUAAUAGUUGUGUUCUUGUAUCCUUACUAACUUUUUCUAAAAGAUCAUGAUAGUACAGAAUCAAUAAGUAUAGAUAGUAACCUUUAAGAGUCGAUGAUUCGCAUGAUCAUCGCAAUCUUUACAAAUACAAGCUCGACAUUCCAAACAAAAAAGGUUCUUAUGUUUUCGAUUAUGACCUUGCUCUUCACAAUGCUCGUCGAAUCUUCCUUUAAGAAGAGCGGUUAGCCAACGAGGUACAAUAAGAACAUUGUCCUGAAAAACAUGGAAUAUAUUAAUACAGUUAAAAUUAAUCUAAAUUAUAAGAAACAACUAAAGAUAUAAAAAUAAAAGCCAACCAUUGUUUUCUUGGUAGGGAUUCUAGCAAGAGAAUAAGGGAUUCUAGCAAGAGAAUAACUUUUGCAAGAGGAGAGGCGUGCUAGCUAGCUGGCUAGAAAGAGGAUAAUUGCAAUGAAUCAAAUAGAGAAGAAAUUCGAACUAUUUAAAGAGAUGAAUGUGCCGUAUUUAUGUCGUGUUUGUGUGACUUAAUAGGUCGUAUUAUGUUGCAAAAAGGGAAAGAACGAAAAGGGGACAAAUAUAUAUUGCAAAAACGGGAAAACAAGGAAAAGGGGGGAAAAAGAUUGCACGUUCAGAAGGUGACGCCCCUUAUGGUUAAAUUCUUAUAUAUUUUGCAUGUUAAUUAAAUAUAGGAGUAAUAAUGGCAUUUAAUCCCUUUUAAGUUUGAAAAGUACAAUAAUUAUAUUAGAAAUAGAUUUUGCUUUGGGGAUGUUAUAAUUAAUGAAAUAGGUUUUGUUAACAAAAAUAGUUUCUAGUUUUAGCAACUAUAAAAUGGAAAAGUCCUUAUUCAAGUUGUGCUUGUGUCUUAAUUAACGCAACACUAUUUUGUUGCCUACUCUGAUCUAGUGUUAGAUCAGGAAACGAGAAAGAAAAGAAAAGGAACAAAAGUAGAAAAUAGAAAAUAUAAGUUAUUGGGGAAAAAAUAUAUAUAUAAGCACAAGUUGGUUUGGAUUAACUAAUUUUCGAGAUCUAUAUGUAAUUAAUUAAAUGGCUUUUACACAUUACUCAGCCUAUUAAAAAAAACUAAGAAGAUAAAGCAGAUAUAAAUCUUUUAAUUAACUUGUGUUAUAGACCAUGUGGAAUUGUUUGUGCCAGAAAGAUAUCGAAAGAAAACAUCCCUCUAUGAUGCCGUAAUUUUUUUACCGCAUUAAUAAUGUAAGAACUAUGUAUCAUUAGAUCUUAUCAACAGUACACAUUAUUUUUAUUAAUUAAAAAAUUUAUUUAUUUUUAAAAUAUUAUAACUGGUUAACAAACCAAUUGAAAAGGUGAUUUUAAAUUUAAAAAGUAAAGAAAAUAAAGAUAUGAUAAAAUACAAUCUCUUUAUUUAUCUCAUUGAAUUUAUUGUCGGUUUUAUAUCUCACAUUUGAAAUAUGAUUCUUAAAGAUUGUCUCUACUCCUGAAUGAUUAGACAAAAGAGAUUCGAUAAGCUAUUCUUAUUCCAUAGCACUUUAGUGCCAAAUAAUUUGAAUUGCUUUUGUUAUUCUAAUUGAUUUGAUAGUGAAUACUGUUACGGAAGCGUGAGAUUGAGCAAUUACCAAUAUUUUAGUGACUGUAACUUCUGGAGAAAUAUAAAUGUGGUGUAAACAAAUGCAGAGAAAAUAGGACACAAUAAUUUUUACGUGUUUCGGCGUAAAAUCUACGUCCAUGGGCAAAGACUGGAAGAUAAUUUUACUAAUAAUGAGACUUUACAAAAGUGAAAAAACUCUAAAAAAAAAAAAAUACUCAAUACACCCAACACUACAACAAAACUGGCAAUAGAUGACUGCAAAAAUCUAUCAUAAAGGGGGGUGGAUGACAGUGAAAUUAUCUAUCAUUUAUGUACCUGUCACUCUUUUAUGAUAGAAAAAAAGUAUGUCAUUAACGUAUGAUAGCGUUUAAAUGUCAUAUGUCAGUCAUGGAAAAAAAUAAAUAAAUAAUUUAAUUUUUUGGUGGGACAUGUAAAUUUUUUUUUUAUUUUGAAAUUUUGGCUGGAAAAUUAAUUUUCAUAUGGACAAUUUUGGCGGGUAAAAUAUUACGUUUGUGAUAAAAUUUAUGAUUGAUAUUUUAUGUCAUUAAUUCUUUUUAUGACUUAUUUUAUGAUUAAUUUUUUCUAUCACAAAUUCUAAAUUUAUACUGAACAUAAUUAUGAAUUAUUUCAUUUAAAUUUAUGCAUUCUUGUAUAUGAAAUUCAAUCACAAAUUCAAUAUGAACCAAAAAUUAAAUUAUACAUUCUAUUAAGUCCAAAAACACUUUGUAUUAAUAACAUCAUCUAAAAACACUUUUAUCCAACAGUUAACACAUCCAAAGUAAUUAAGAAGUUGAUUCCAGCAAACGUUUCAAAUUUUACAAACUAACAAGCCGUCAAAUCUUGUAACGCAGAACUCCCAUAUUCUCAGUAAAAUUCCAGUAGAUAAACUACCAUUCUCAACAAAUACCCAGCAAAACUCCCAAGACCAGCAAUUUCUCUCAACCUGCAUAUGCAACACCAAUUGAAUAUACCAAGCACUAUCGUUAUAAAGAAUAAAAACCUACAGUAAAACCCCUAAGUUUUAGAUGCAACAGAAUCAUUACUAAUUCAAACUCAAUCUGUAUGUGCAACACUAAUUAAUAUAGCCAACCCUAUAUUAUAAAGAGUUAUCUAUUAAAGUAAAACUUUAACUUUUUAUACAACUUAAAUUAAUUCCUUGCCACAAUAAAAUAUAUAGUAAAUAAAAAAGGUAUCUUGUAAUAUAAAUUUCAAGCAUAAUACAUAUCACCAUGACAAUGAAGAUAAUAUGAACUAAUGAUUGUCUCAAUACUUAUUUUUCAGCAGAACGUUCCUAUAGGAAUAGGUAAGCAAGAUCAUAUAUGGGAGUUAGGCAUGCAAAACAUUAUGGUUAUUUCUAUCUGGGCACAUAUCCUGUGAAAAUCAUGCACAAAUGUUCUAAAACUCUAUUAUGAAUAUGACUACACACAAACUAUAGCUAAGAGUAUAAACACGAAAGUCUCCACAAAAUCUAUGAAAAGGCCAAAACUCUCCUUCUCAGGCUGCUGCCAUUUCUUGCCUGUUGCUAAGAAUUAAAAGGAGACUCAUUAAACUUUGAAGAAAUGGAAUGGAAGCCCAAUGAAAAGCCCAAAUCCUCACUUUCUCCCAAAUAUACAAAAAUAUCCUCACGUAUUGUCCUCAAAUAUUCUUUUGUUUCUCUCCAACCACACAACCUAAAAAGUGGCCAUAACUAAACUAGCCCAUAAUAUAACGAACUUCCUCUUUCCUUCAAAUGCAAAAGGAAAUUCCAAAAGCAAGAACCGACGAGAAAAUAGCACAAAUAAGUACACCAAACAUUUAUAUGAAUUAAUUAUUUUUAAAAAAAGUAUAUCAAACAGACAAUAGAAUGCAGUACCAUAUUCUCCUCAUUUCCCCUGCCACCCCAAACCACGCAUAGAGAAGCACAACAAAUAAAUAUAUUCCCUAUACUGGAGAUAUAUAUAAGAUUUCUCCGAAGGUCAUCAGGCUUUAAUACAGCCAGAAAGCGGAUCUCAAUAAAAAUUUAAUUCAAAAUCACUGGUUCUUUUUGGAUGAUGCAGUUGUCAUUAAAUAUUUUGAAAGUAGCUGUGAAAAUAUAUCUCAUUCUGUUAUUCUAACCCCAAAAAUAAAAAUGGAAGAAAUGCCUAAAUAAUAACAAACAUUUGUCGGUCGUUCAGUGCACAACAACCUACAAUUGAAUUUCUUUUUGAGUAUGUUGCCAUUGUUGAGAGUGUACAAAAGUUUUUCACAGCUUCAGCAUUAAACCAAGUAGUAUACUACAAAAUGAAACUGUAGGAUAAACCACGAACGACAUCUAAUUAUAAAAUGUUGAUGAGUGGAAACUUGAUAAUAUUGAUGAAUCUGUUAGUACCUAUAAACGAGGAAUACAAAAACAGGCCUGGUUCACUGCAUUAUUAUUCAUUACCCCUCUAAUUAAUUAAGCUGAAGAAAAUAUCAGUGGCAGAGAAUUCUGUUCUUGGAUCCGUUUUCAACAGUUCGCAUUGUAUAUUAUAUCCUUAAGCAACUUCCGUUUUUCUAAAUAUUUGGAACUGUUUAAGAACCAAUCCAACUAAAAUUAUUGUUGCAAAAGGAAAAAUAUUAAGCACAUAGCAGAGCGAAAGAAUGCAUAUAUGUGAGAAUACGUCUCCUUGAUAUCGAAUAGAAAAGGCCAAAGUAAGUUCAAUAAA